GACGGCGGUGGCGUCCCACCAGCCGGAUUACUUGAGUUCGACGGCGCCAAUGAUGGCGCAUUACCAGGUGACGAUGGAACCGCCGGCGGUGACGUGGAAGGGGAGGUUCCCGGCGGGGGAGAUACUCCUGUUGGAGCAUUAGCCGCAGGUGGCUGCGAUGACGGUGACGUGGAGGGGGAAGUUCCCGGAGCCGGUGACAGCCCAGUUGGAGCAUUAGCCGCAGGUGGUUGCGAUGACGGUGACGUGGAGGGGGAAGUUCCCGGAGCCGGUGACAGCCCAGUUGGAGCAUUAGCCGCAGGUGAUUGGGAUGAUGAUGGUGACGUAGAAGGUGAAGUUGCCGGCACCGGAGAGUACCCUUUUGGAGGAUAAGGCGAAGGCGCAUGAGAUGAUGGUGACGUGGAAGGUGAAGUCGCCGGCACUGGAGAGUAUCCUUUUGGAGGAUAAGGCGAAGACGUGGAAGGUGAAGUUGCCGGCGUCGGAGAGGACCCUUUAGGAGGAUUAGCCGAAGGUGCAUGAGAUGUUGGUGAGGUGGAGGGGGAAGUCGCCGGCGGCUGUGUGGCCGGAGAAGGAGACUUAGGAGACGGGGCAUGCGGUGGAGGUUUCGUGGUGGGGGGUCCAGUUGAGGGAGGGGGAGGCCUUUCAUGCAAAACGACGACGAUUAAUUUCUGUCCCUUUUGGCAAUGAUCAUGGUUUCCACUUAUGAAAUAGAAAGGACCCGAACGAUCAAGCUUGAACUCUGAGUCACCCGAAUCCAGUUUCAGCAAAGGCUUCUUCGUGUUGCAGCUGUCGUAAUCAUCUUUGUUCACUAACAACACCGAGUCUGAUCCUUUCUUGUACUUGAAAACUGCCAUAAAUUAAAAAAAAAAAAAAAAUCGAAAUCAGCAUUCUUUCAUUAGAUCGUCACCCCCAAACACAGGUUAAGCAGUGAUAUUCAAACAGAAAAUCCUCAAAGAACGCUGACAGAAACAGAGUAAACCUUAAGACUUACAGAGGGUAUCAUUGACGAGGAACCUGUUUCUCCCAGACCAUUUGUUGUAAUUUUCUCCAGGGUUUGUAACCCAGCCGUGUUUGCCACCCACGUUGAAUUUGAGUGCGUGAGAGGAAGAGAUGAAAAAUGCAAAGAGAGCCAAGGAAAGGCAAAGAGAUUUCUGAAACUCCAUUGAACAGAAAUGUGCUCUAGACUUGUGUGUUUUCUGUUUUUAUAUAGCGAUGAAAGUGAUAUAGAUAUGUACGAUGACCCAGAAGCUUCACAGAAAAUCUGCCAAUUGGAAGUUUUUAUUGGUAUUGCUUUUUUACUUGGGAAGUAAAAGAUUUUGGAGAUUUGAUUGGAGAAGGAAAAUCAGAGAUAAGAAGGAAAGUGAAGAUAGAGGCAGUGGCGUUGAUAUAUAAAGAGAGAUUCAGAUUACCGUUUGAAUAGUAAUAGCAAUCAAUCAAUGAAUCCCAAAACUUUAUUAGAGUCGAGCCAGGUGAAGUUAUUGUUUGUCUGCUUAUUAGUCUACGCCUAGUAUUUGGUCUUCUGUUUCUUUUUACAGGUGGCAAAAUCAGAGAACGUGAACGUUGAUCAUGCAAUUGAAAUUAAUGUAGUGUCAAUUGUGGGGUAGAUUGGAGCCUCCCAUGUGUCUCUUCGCACAACCGUGUGAUACACGUUUCAAUUGUAUCUUAAAUUUGUUCAUAAUCAUACGGUACGUAUUUCACUCGAGCUAUUAACUCUUAAUAUUUAGGGGCUUGGAUGAGAUGAAAAACUUCACUCACUAAGCACACACUUAUCACAACUCCUCUCCUAUUAGCACUAAAACUCAUGUGAUUGCACUCACAAUUAGCCGAGCUAAAUUUGGAGGCUAAAAUGUUAAUCUUUAUGAUCAUCAAUACAUUUUAGUCGGCCAAAAUUGAUUAUAAGACUUGUUCUUCCCGUUGAACUAUUAAUGCCUCUUUGUCCGUUGGUGUUGACUUCACAGUUAUGCAAGAUUGGACCAGCUCAAGUCGAAGGGCUCAUAUAUCCAGUGCUUGGCCCCAGGAGUAGACAGAUAGUCUGUUCAUGGCCACCAUUAGUCCUUUCACCAUAAAUAAUUAAACCAUGCUUUGGUGUAGGGAAAGUUUACUGAGUCUCAUAGCCUUUGGGUUAAAAUGAAGGGUGACCCUCCAAGUUUUUAUGACUUUCAUCCUGAAUUAAGUGGCUGUGGUUCUCUUACAUAGAACACAGGAGUAGACGAAUGGUACCUACUCUCAUCUACUGUUUAGUAGAGUCUAGGACAACGGGUGCGCUAUGACAUUCAUGUACCUAUCUAUAUCUACUGAAGUCAUAACAUGCAUGCAUGUGUGUGUGUGUGUGUAUAUAAAAAUUGUCCGCUAAUUUUGAAAAUUCAACAACAAAAGUGUGGAAAAGGAAAAAAAGUGUAAUCUGCAGGAAAUGAAUGAAUAUGGUCAAACAAUCUUCAACCCUCGAGUAAAGGAAUCCAAGAACUAUAACAAGAGCCAUAAUUUUGAGUUUCUGUGUGUGUAUUCAGCUACCUCUGUCACUACUCAUAUGAAAUGUACAUUAUAGGUGGGAAAAGGGUGGUGUCGAGGGCUUGUGUGAACCAAAUACCCCGCAAACAAACAACUUUUUUCACUCAAAUGGAAUUCACAUGAUGCACCAAGAAUUCCCCACCCAGUUCAUAUGAAUGAAAUCAGCCAUUCCCUCAAGAGAAUGUGUAAUAUCAUAAAAUUAAAAAAAAAAGGGAAAACAAAAAGGUCUCUUCAAAAGUCAUACUUUGUUCUCCCACUCAUCAAGAUGAGACACAGCAUAUCUGAAAUGUCAGAAGAAGAACUGAAGAAGUUCCAAGACUCGAGCAUUAGGCGUUUCCUUGAUCCCUUGAAAUGAACAACCUAUACAAUAAUAAAAUCAAUAUUUUAAAAUAAUGCACACUUGAAAACUUUUAUGUGACAGCAAGAGGAAGUCAUAUGAAAAAAACAAAAUAUUUAAACUAAGCAAUUGAAUUUAGAUAUUCAAGCAUACCUUAACAUCCAAAGGCAUUCCAUGAAAUUGGCCUGCACCCUCAGGUGGUGUCCAAUUGUACGUAGCGCAUGGUAGAAAUAGCACAGAAGCUCCAAUAAUGUCUUCAACAAAGGGCUGUGCUUUGGUAAAUCUCCUUGCAUCAAAAGAAGGGUGCGAUUUUACAACCCAGGCAAGAGCUAACUGGUCACCGAGCAUUCUGGAGGCAUUCAUGUAUUUGGAACUGUAAACCCUUAAUACUUCCUCAAGAAAUAUCUUCGCCCUGAAAUCAAUUUCAGGUUGUAAUUUUCUCAAGUGAAUUUUAUUGUCAUUAUUCAUACAGCCUUUCAUGCACCAGGAAAUUGUGAAGGAAGGACCCCAAAAAAAAAAACCUCAAGAAAUAUCUUCGCCCUGAAAUCAAUUUCAGGUUGUAAUUUUCUCAAGUGAAUUUUAUUGUCAUUAUUCAUACAGCCUGAAGGAAAUAGGAAAAAGACAAGAUUGGUUCCCCAAAAAAAAAAAGAAGGAAAUAGGAAAAAGACAAGAUUGGUUCAUGUAUCUUAUAAUCUGUAACGAACUAAUGGACCAAUAACUCCAACCAAUGACCCACAAAGAUUUGCAAGAUAUAGAUUUCAAUUUCAAAGUCUCCGUAACGGACAAUAGAAACAUUUCAAACUUUUUUCCACCACCUAAUUUUAUUCUAGUAGAAAAAGCCUUGCACAGAAGGAGAAAAUUAGGCACCUUGAAAUCCCAUCUGGGGUGCCCCUGACAGCAAUAAAUCCAGAAUUCAGAGGUUGAUCUUUAUUGUUUCUGAAAGUCAGAGCCAGAUGAAAGUUUUGGUAAUCGUGAAAUAUAUGUCCUAAGUCGUCAACCACGGCUAUAUCUGAGUCAGUGAAGACAUAAUGAUUUAUAUGCCCUUGCCCCUGAGAAUGCUCCCGAAUUCUUCUUUCUAGAAAAGUCUGCAUAAACAGAAUAACAUUGAAACAUAAAAUUCAAAACAGUGCCCUCAUAGUUCAAGAAGCAAAAUUCUUGACUAAUUAUUUUAUCAUUGCAAUCUUAAUCGUUAAGCAAAAUAAGACAAUUUUCAACGAUAUCUUCUGAUAUGAAUAAGUAACUAUUAACUCUUUGUGGCAAAUGCAACUAGGGCAUAGAAUGUUCUUCUCGCAAGAAAUGAGACCAAAAGCAAAAUGAAUUUAUUUGUGAGUCUGCACAAGAGUUUGGUGAGGGGGCAAAAGAAAAACUACAAUGAAGGAUUGCUAGGGGGAAAAUAAGUAGAAAGAACAAGAAAAAAAAAAAAAAUCUUGAAAGGGAACAUAAAAUACAAAUGAAAAGCUGGUAAGAAAGCUGCAGAAAUAUACAUAGAUAAAUUAAGACAUUAUAGACAAUUUCUGCAAAUGAUUUUUAUUUCUCAGAAAUAUGAAUGAAAAACAAAAACAUUCUACCUAUUUAUCAGUGCGAUUUGCUCUUACAAUGUAAGACCUGAUUCUUUGAAGCAUCAAUUUGUCUCGUGAAUAUUCACCAUGAAUGGGAUAUAUGGUGACCCCUUUUCUGGGCAUUGAGAGGUCUGAAGCUGGAUCAGUCAGAAUGAAAACAUCACUCUUGGGCAUUGUCACCUGCAAUAAUUUUAUGUUUGAAGUCAUGAAUUAGUAAAAUUUGAAAGCUGCAAACCAUACAGGUCCAUUAAUAGAUGACAUAGCUCUCAAUUCUACUAUGUUAGACAAAGGUAGUUAUGACAAUAAGUAAAUGUAAAUAUAAUUAUCAAUGAUAAGAGUUCCCAAAUACACCAACAUAAAGAUCGCUCUUAAGUUUUAGAUGAGUCAUCCCAAAGUUGCAACAAUAGAUGCUAAAAAUAGUAAAGCUCAAAGUUAAUAUCUGAAUUACCAUGUAAAAUCAAUGAACGUUAUUCUCAGAUUUUUUUUUUUGGAUAAGAAACAUGAACUCUACCCCAGUUUCUGAUGGAUUUGUCAAAGACUUGCCUGAAUAAAGUUAAUGAAGACAUUCAGUAUCGCCAUUGACCUCUCUGUCUUACUAUAUGAAGCAUUUCCAACUGUAACCAUGUUUGAUGCUCUGCUAUCUACAGGAACAUCAAGUGAUGUGUUAUAAAUUGUGAAAACAGUGACAAAGGAAAUGCUAUUUCCAAUGCUAGAGGCUUGGAAAGAGGUCUUGUUGAGAGCUUUUAAUCCUGAGACAGAAAUCAUGGAAUAAAACCUUCAGCAUUAGUAUUGGUAGUAAAACCACUUGACCCAAAAGCUUAAAUUGGUAGGCAAGAGCCUGAUAAUUGUGUUAAAGACAAGUUUUGACAAGUACAAUUAAAGAGGAUGUUUCCAUAGAUUAUGUCAUAUGACCACCAAAUGAGUGAGAGUAUAAAUUACAAUGUGAGAUUUAAAAGGCCUUCACAUCCAAAAAUAUGGAAACUUCUCAAUAAAUAAACUCUAAACAUACACAAUAUGAUCCAAUUCAUAAUUUGAGCAUUCACAUACGUGUUUAUUGGCGGAAAAAGGCUACGGAACUGCAGGGCCAGUUUCAAUUGGGAGAAAAAUACCAUGGAGCUAAUUAGCCAAUCAAUUUCAAAUAUGUUGAAACCACUAUUUUCAAAUUUAAAGUAGAUGAUCAACAGAUAAUAAUGGAUUAAGAAGGAUUUCAUUUUAGAAAUCCAAAAUAGAAAUAGUAAGUCUAUAUUAGCAGGAAAUACUAGCAUAUUAUUUACAAGGACAAUGAACCUACCUUGGCAUUGCAAACGGUUAGGCAACCGUUGGCCAGCAGCUGGACCAAGAAUCAGAUGAUCAAACUUCUGUCUAUUUUUCCUGGGAAGAUCUUCUACAACCGACUUUUCAUGCAAUUCCAGAACUGAAGAUGGACACCAAUCAUUAUUCAAGCAAAAAUUCCCUUUAUAAAUAAAUACAACAUUGAAAUGCUGUAAACGGAAUAAUUAGAAGUAGACCAAAACUAUUACCUGAUAACAGAUAAGGGAGGAAGAAGACCAAAGGGAGAAAGAAAAGGAAACGGCGACAUCCACCACAUGCUCUCAUGCCUAAGCUUCCUUUCAAUGGACCAACUGACUCAAAGAUCAUCUCCAGCACAAAUUGAAUUGAGAAAAAGCAUAAAAUGCACAGUAUGUUUCCUUCGAGUGCCAACACUCUAGUACCUCUACAGCAAUACCAAAUGAACAAAACUCUAUAACAUAAUGCUCAUAUAAACCAUCAAAGCUUAAAGAAGAACAAAACAGCAACUCAAAUUAAGCUGAAAAUCACGGAGGAAUCUAAUUCUACACCGAUCCUACUGCUAAUAUAUACAUAAUACCAUUAUCACAGACAAAAUGCAGAUGAAGCAAGUGCAAGAUCAAAUUUUGCUUUCAAUCGCAUUAUUAUAGCUAUUAAAAGUAAAUACCCAGUUCAUAAAAAGUAAUUUUCUGGUUCUCAGUUUUAUAAAUUCGCGAUACUCAUGAGCAAUUUCCUACAAAACUGAAAAUUUAGAUUGAAUAAUGCAAGAGCUCUAAAAGUUUAACUUGAAUGAACAAAGUUCGGGCAAGAAAAUACUCACCCAGAUACAGAGGAAAAAGAAAAAAACGUUGAUGGCUACAGAAACUGUGCACUUGACGGUUGACACGAGAUCUGGUUACGGCUACUGAGCUUCCAGCCUUCCAUGAUGGUUUUGAUUAAAUAAAUACUCUUUGCUUCUGUUAUUAAUAAUGUCAUAGAAGGAGUAUGAAACUAUGAAACCUAAUACAAAAUGACAAUGAAAUGACGAUAUUAACCUUGAUUCGUCUAAUUACAUGCUUGCCGAUGGUAAUGGGGAGGGGAGACUAUUUGUCCUUCUAUCCUUCUGUUUCCAUUGGAAUUACACGAGAGAAAGGAAUAGAAGUCUCUAAAGAGUACACAAUUCCUGAAUGACUAUUAUAUCUUUAAUUUUUGAACAUAAUUUAACUAUAUUAAAAAUAAAAAAAUUUAAAUAUAAAAUUACGUCACUAUUAAACUAAGUCAAUGCUGUCAAUAUUACAAGUCAAUCUUUUAAACUUAUCCCCAAAAAAAAAAAAAGCGUGAUAAUAUUUCUUGCAUUACCUGUUACAAAAAUCAAACAAUUCAAAUCAUGACAAAAUGACCUCCUCGAUCUUCAUUAAAUAAUAGUGGCAAGUUACGUCAAAGUCUUGAUAUUAAAUAAUAUCUAUAUUUUUUUAAUAAAUAUUGUGAUAUUUGUUAUUACACUCAUAUUUUAAAAUUUAAUUUAAAUUUAAAUAUAUUCACUAACAAUUUUAAAAAAUAAAAAAAUGAUAAAGGAGAAAUUAGCAGGGGAUGACUUUCAUCUAAUUCUCAUUCCUUUCUCGAAUAAGAUAUUAGAUAUGAAAUGGUCCAUGCCCUUCCUCAUAUAAAAUAAUUCCCUCACUAUAUUCGAAUGGCAAAAAUCCCAGCAUUUCCUACUAAUAUAUUUUAAUUUGAUACUUUGACUUAUUCCAAAUGUCUAUUUUCAUUUAAAAAGAAAAAUUAAGACCAAUCAAACACAUCUCAAAUUCCAUCAUAUCAUAAUCCGGUUCUGAGAAACAAUGAAAAUUAUGUGAUCAAGUAACUUCAAAUUUCUAAAACUUUCCCAUAAAAUUAUAAAAUAAAUAAAUAUAUUUUUAAAUGAUGCUAUAGCUUGGGCCGCCGCCGGGCACCAUAUGAGGGUGUCAGGCUAGGGCUUUACAGAAAUAGCCCAAGCCCGACGUAAGACUGGUGUUUAAAAUUUUAAAAAAAUUGUACCAAUUUUUAAUGUUUAAUUAUAAUUAAACCAAGUGCCUUAUUAUAUAACUAAUACAAUUUAUUAGUGAUAAUGAUACGAUAACUGUAAAAAUCUCAUACGUUUCUAUUAUUUUGUUUCAACAAAUACACAUAUGUAUAUGGAAUCGCACAAAUUUAUUUCCAUAAUUUGUAUAAAUGAUUAAUAUACUUUUCCAUAUAGUUUUACUUAAAACAUUAUUUGUUUCCAUCAAUACUUUCGUUGAUUUCAUAUAAUGUACACACACACACACACAAAUUUUUCUACUAUUCGUUAUACAUGAAUACAUUUACUGCACUUAAAUAUUUCUAACUUUAAUUGCCCUUAAAACUUAUGUAAAUAUAAUUUCAAUAUCAUUCUUUGAUAAUUUAGCACCCAAAAACACUUUUUAAAAUAAAUUAUUUAAAAAUUUGAUUCUCCAAUAAUUUAUUUUUGUACUAAACAUUAAAAGUUACUAGGAUUAGCUUUGGAAUAUCAGAUUUUUUUAAAAAAAAUCUGAUAUUAGAAUCUGCAAUACCAUUUUUAUCCUUAUCUUAGAAACAUAUGUCCAAAAAUACCCAUGCACUAAUUUACGUAAUUUAUUAAUAUUUAGAAAAUUUAAUUUUUCAAAAACAACAAAAUACCAAAGCCAUCGCCGGUGCCAGCAAUGUCUCUGUCACCAUCAUCAGCGUCUAGUGGAAGUAUUCCUAGUGCGACACCACAAACCCUAUUAGACUUCAAACUAUCUUCCGUACACAAUGGUUAUGCCGUGGUUAGCGGAGAAGAAAUGAUGGUGUGUCUCCUGUGUUCCUGAAAUAAAAUGGCUACUAUAAUGCUGCCAUGAAAAGGAGACAAAUAAAGGUAAGCUGCCUGCCACUAUCAUCUGAUGGAUUGAUGAUGAUAAUAAUAAUAAUAUACUUAUUUAAUUAAAAAAACAAUUUUUAUCUAUUGCAUAUGUGCUUUAUUUGUUGAUAAAAGAUGAGUUGUUAUAAUUUCAGUAAUUAUUUAAUAAUUAGUUUGAAAUUUGAAUAAAAAUACCAAUUUCUUAACAAAAUGUGGAUAUUUUAAUCAUUUUACACAGACACCGUAUAUUUAAGAUCAAUUUACCAAACAUUUAUAGCAAAUUUAUUGGGAAGUAAUUAUUUUGUAAUCUAAAUUUACCAAACAAGCAACCAAAUUAUUAGUAAAGUUGAUUAUUUCAAAAUCUAGCCUAAAAUAGAUUAUUUGGGAAGCAAAAGCAAUCUCAAACAUACCCUGGCUUCCAUAUAUUCAUCCAAGAAGCAAUGUUUAUGGUUUAAUAUGUUCAUUCUCCUUAGAGAUGACAAUAAAAUCCGGAUUCGGCCUGCAUCCGUAAGGAUCCAUAAAAUAUGGAUCCGCAAAAAUUCAGAUAUGUAUUUUUGAAAAUGCGGAUCCGGAUUUGAAAAACUAAAACCCGCACGGAUUCGGAUAUAAAUCCAGAUGCACUUGCAUGUGGAAAACUGGAUAUCCAGAUCCGGUUGGUUUUUGUUUUAAAUUAAAAUAUAUUAACUUAAAUUAAAAAAAAAAUCUAAUCCCUAGCUGUCAGUGUCGUUCGCUUCCUUCAUUCAACUUUCAUACACACACACUCACCUCACCAACAGCCGUAAGUCGUAUCCCUCAAAUCUCGCUCUCAACUGGUCGUUGUCUUCUGUCGCCUCGCUUGAUUUGUCGUUGAAGCCUCGUUGUCCAAGCCUUGCGGUACUCGUUGAAGAAGCCUCGCUGUCGUUCAACCCUGGCCGUGUAAGCCUCGCCUGAUUGGAAUUAAUUUGUCAGUAAUUUUUUAUAUUUGAUUUAUGUUGUGAUAUUUUUAUUUAUGGAUUUAUGUUGAUGUUAUAUGUUAUUUAUGUUAAAUUGUUAAUUGUUGGAUUAUAAUUGAAUUUUAUUUGAUAUUAUUAAUUAAAUUUUUGAAUUUUUAAAUUAUAUUUUAAAUUAUUUAAUUUUAAGUUUUUGCGGAUCCGGAUAUCCGGAAUAUCGGCCCACAUCCGGAUAUGAAAAUUUUGCCAACCCUAAUUCUUCUUCAGGUUUUAUGUAUAAAUUAAUAAGCUCCUCUCAAACUCAGGCCUUGCAUUUUCUUUAUCUUAGCACCUAAAUCGCCCAUCCAAAUUAAUUUACAAUCUCUUCUUUAAGUCUUCUGAUUCUUUUUUAUUUAUUUAUUUAAAUUAAAUUUACUUUAGGUAUUUUAAUAGCCCUAAAAGAUACUAUUACUUGUCAUAGUGUAGCUAAUAAAUUUCAUCCAGAUAUAUUAUCACACCAUAUAGCGUUAGUGUUUCUGUUCAAUUAACUAUUAUGCCAUAAAAUGUAAUAGCCUGAAUGAAAUUCGCGUUUAGAUACUCGUACUUCAGAAUUUCUAUUCAAGCAUUGGUUCCAGAUAUAGUUUAACGAAGUGAGAGUGGAAUUAUUUAAUGGUUUGUAUAGAUUUAUUGGUUUAGAUCUCCGAUGGAUUCGUGUGUGGGUAGAAGCAAGUCUUCAGACAAAGCAACUGCUAAGUUGAUGAAUAACAAAGUUUUACUAGAAAAGUCAAUAGCCUCUUAGACCUAAAAAAAAAAAACAAAUUGCGGUAAUCUUACGGUGCUGAACAUUUCUUAUGGGAUCUUGUGAAGGAAUAUGUGGAAGAAAAUGGAUUGAAUGUAAUAGCGUGGCUCAAAUAAGUGAGUAGAUAUUGUUUACUUUGGACAUACAACUUAUUACAAAAUUGAUAGUGCUACCUCGAGUUCUCCUACCGUCCUACGAGAGGACUCAAUACAAAAUCUCUUCCCACAAAUGUGGGAGAGAGGAGAUGUUCUUUUAACUUUUAAGGUGUGUGUUUAGAUCUUAUUUCUACGAGAUGUAAAAUUUUAAAUUAUGCUGCUUUAAGGGCACGUUUGGUGGCCUGCAUAAAGUUGCAUAAAAGUACUAUUUUGUAUUAAAUUAAUACACACUCAUGUUUGGCAUCAAAACCAACACACAGAGCAUUGCAUUAAAGGGGUGAGCUAAUAAAGCUUGUCUUUUGUUUUUUUAAACUUUAAUUAUAAUAAUAACUAAAUCUAACUUUUGAUAUAAAUAAUAUAAUGUUAAUGUUAAUUUUUUAUUUUUACAUUAUAAUUAUUAAUAUAAAUCAAUAAUUUAUUAUUCAAUAAUAUUAUAUGAUAUUUUUAAUUUUACAUUAUUAUAUUUUUUAUAUUUAGAUUAUACUUUAUUAGCAGAUUUAUAAUUUAAUAUAACUAAUAAUAAAUAUUAAAAAUAUUAAAUUUUUAAAAUUUAAAACUUUUAUAUUUAAUAUUUUUCUAAGUACUAAUAAAUAUUAUUUUUGAAUAUAUAAUUUAAAUUAAUCACAAAAAAUUAAUACAAUAUAGUACAAUACCAAAUAUUGUAUAAUUAAAAAUUUAUACAGUGUAGUGUAACACCAAACAUUGUACAACAUUAUUAUAAUACAGUAUUAAUGCAAUACAAUAUAAUACAAUACACCGGCAUUAAAAUAAUACAAUACAAUUUAAUACAAUACAGUAUAUCAAACGCACCCUAAGUGUAUAAAUUUAGACUCUUAGACCCUCGAUUGUAAUAUAUUUAUAAUUUUCUCAAAACUAAACAAAUUCAUCUAAGUAGAGAGAAGAUGUCCAUAAUUUACAAUUUGACUACCUUAUAUGGAACAUUUCGGAAACAAAAACGUAGUAUACUGAACUUACUGAACUCUCUUAUAGAUACAAAAUUCUUUCAAGCAUUAUUUCAUAUGAAUGAAUAAAUUGAAGUUUCAGCAUCCUAUAGGCCUACUUGAGAUUAACACAAUCUCUAAAUUUCUAAAUCCCCUAGUUAGGCAUUUAAUAUGUAACGUGUGUUUAUACGUUUUUGUUUCUUAGUUCACGAAGAAACUUGGUUAAACAAAAAUAGACGUUUCUAUCUCUCUGUUUACAAGAAUACUCAAUUUAGUCCAACUUCUGCACGAUGCAAUGAGUUCUAAGAGGUGAUGGCUUGGCAGCAGAGGCCACAAGUUACGCCAAUCCACAAACCCUAUUCAAAACAUGAUAAAGCUAAUAAAGUCAUUGAAUUGGAAGUGAAACAAUUAGUGAAAGUUUGAAAAAGUAAUUAGUUGAUCUAACCUUAACAUAAAGCUUCAACUUAAAUGUAAGAACAACUGAAAGUGGCAUGCCAAUUAAAUAGAAUGUUGCCUAAUUAGCCAACACAGAUAUGUACUGCCAUCCACAUCCUCUUGGACCCCUGCACCAAUUAGGCCGAUUGAUCACUUUAAUUGAAAUCAAAAUUUUAUUAUAGCCCAUAUUGGUAUUGUGAUUGGACAGUUCUAACCUUUAAGUUACAAAAGUAAAAUAUUUAGUAAACGCUAACCGCAGUACUUUAGAAGUUAAAUUAAUUUUAUCACACACUUGUCUGAUGAAAGCCAAAUUUUUUUUAUUAUUUUUGUUAAAAUAAUUUUUAUUAUUCAAUAAAAUCUCUCUUGUGAAGUCGAUUGGAUUAGAGUGUCAUCUAAUCUCGCAUUACACGUUAUUAAAAAUCUUAUUGAGUCGUUGGAUUAGAACGAGAUCUAAUUACGCUUUGAUUAGAGCGUAAUCUAAUCGCGUUGGCUUGAUCCAAUGCUAGAACGAAAUCUAGUUUUCCUACCCUAUUAAUUUCGCUUCUGCUAUGCCUGCUCCAUUAAUUGUUAUCAGAGCGGUUCUAUAUGAAUCGCACAGCUUUCAGGUAUACCCACAUCCAUUCCACCAAAUCCAUCGCCAAAAAAAAAAAAAAAAACCAAAAACAGCAAAACACAAAAAAUCCAGCAAAAUAAAAACUCCAAACGUAAACAACCAUCACAGCUGCCGCAUACAACUAACUCUUGAUUAUUGUUUAGUAUAGUAAGGUUCAUGAUCCGUUUCUACUUAUGCUUAUGAGAUUGAGUAACUUUAUGGAUGUAGUUAUUAUUAUGAGCCUGAAGGGAAUACAAUUAUAAGAUUUAUGAAAGGGCUUGCAAACACCUUAUACACUUUGCAACAUGCAAUUCUUGUAGCAUAGCAAAUUGAAUCACAAACUUUAUAGCAAAUUAGAAGAGAAAGAAGCCAAGCAUUGAAGCAAUCAAGACAACCUCAUCCUCGACACCAAUUUGAGAUCCCUAAUCCUAUCACAAGCCAACAGCCUAAAGUGAAAGACAUACACAUGAAAGAAGUUUGUGCCUCUCCACAUAUCGAGGAUGUGCCUAAAAUUUAAGAUGAAAAUGUACAAUUUAUUAUCGAUUUAAAAUUUCAAUAUGACAAUUUGUGUGAGAGUGUGCAUAAUGUUUCCUUAGAGGAUAAGACAAGCGUUGAAGAUGAUGUGAUUUUUUAUCUCUUUGGGAUUUUUAAAGAAGAAGAACAACCAACUCUUGAUUUGCACAUUGAGCCUAAUAGUACAAUUGAAGUUGUGCAGUAAAAUCAAGUUGAAGAAGUUAAAAUGAUUGAAAUGGUUCUACCUAUUCACAUUGAAGACAAGAAGAUUGUGCUUGAAGAAGAUUAAUUGCAAAGGUGAAACUUAUUGGAGAGCACAUUGAGUGACAAUUGGAGAAGGGCAAGAGUUAUUUAAUCAUUAUUCGUUCUUGGAAGUCAUCAUCGCAACAAAGAAUGUAAAAGCGAAGAAGUUAAUGAAGUAUGGAUUCUUCAAAGUUUCAAGAAAGAUUGAUGAGAAGGACAAUAAGAUGAUUUGCUACUAUACUACAAGUUCCAUCCUCCAUUUGUAUUCAAACUCGAGGAUGAGUUUCUUUUAAGGAGAGACUAAUGUAGGACGUUAUUUUAUGAAUUUUAAGAUUCUAGAAUUUUAUUAUUUAAGAACUUUCUAUUUUAAUUAAAGUCAAUCAUGAUAUUCAUUAUUUUAGGACUUUCUAUUUUCAUUAGAGUCAAUUAAGGUAUGAAAUUUAGUUAACUCAGGGAAGUUGGUUUACUCUAUUAUAAAUAAAGAGAUCUUGUUGUUUUCAUAGCUCAGAUUCAAUUAUUCAAUAAAACUUUUUUUUUUAUAAUUCCCUUUGGAAUUAUUUAUCAAAAUCUCUUUUGUGGAGUCGUUUGGAUUAGAGCAUCAUCUAAUCUCACAUUACAUGUUAUUAAAAAUCUCAUUGAGUCGUUGGAUUAGAAUGAGGUCUAAUCACGCUUCGAUUAGAACAUAACCUAAUCAUGUUGCUUUGCUUUAGUACUAGAACGAAAUCUAGUUUUCUUACCCUAUUAAUUCUGCUUUCGCUACGCCCGCUCUAUCAUAUCAAUUUCAACUAACUACUUACUGUUAUAAAUAUACUAUAUUUUAGGGGCAAACACGGUUUUAAAAAAUAAAUUAUAGUAGAAAAAUAUUAGUUCUAAUUGAUUAUGCAAUUGGAAAUAUAUUAUAAAUUAUACUUUUAAUUAAGUUUUAGUUUUUUUGAAGAUGGUUGUUGAAAUUCAUUUUAUUCUACUUCAUAUAUUUAAAGUGAUCAUUUUAUUAAUUACCUCUAAAAGAAAAAUCGAUGAAUUAAUAGACAAAUAUAUGGUUGAAAUUGAUUUUGUUAAUUACCUCUAGGGAAAAAAAUUCAAUGAAUCAAUGGACAAAUAUUUUUUUUAUAAAUAAUUUCAACAAAUACAUGUGUAGCUUAAACAAAAUACAGAUAAUACACCAAAAGCUGCACAACGCUACUACAAUGACUUAGUAAUCAAUGAAUCAAUGACAAAUAUUCUUUAAUAAUCUCAACAAAUACAUGUGCAACUUAAACAAGAUACAAAUAAUACACCAAAAGAUACACGAUGCAACUACAAUGACUUAGUAAUCAGUGACAAAUAUUCUUUAUAAAUAAUUUCAAUAGAAACAUGUGCAGCAGGUUAAAUGAAAUACAAAUAAUAUAACAAAAGUUACAUGAUGGUACCGCAAUGAUUUAGUGUUGCUAAAAGAUAAAAUCAAUGUGGAUUAAUCACUAAAUCUUUGACAAAAAUAAAACAUAUCACACCAAAUGCUACAAUGAUAUUUUGGUGUUGAUAAAAGAUAGAAUCAAUGUGGAUUGAACAACUGAAUCCAUGUAAAAGUUUAAUAUCAAAGUUUUUUCAUCCUCAGCCCUUGAUUUCCUACAUAACAAUAUAUAUAAAAUAAAUUGUGAAUUAAAAUUUGAUAAAUUAAAAAGAUGAAAAAAAAUCAUAAUAAUUCUUACCUACAAGCCACAAUUAAUCAAAUAAUUCUUCACCAAACAGCCUAACAGAAAAAAAUUCAAACCAGCCUUGUGAGAAUGAGGCCAACAAUAGUUGAUGUCAAGCUUAAGAAAUUAAAGGUAAUGGAAAAAAAAAUCUAAUAGCAUGUCCCCAGAAUUUUAUAAAGCUUAAUUCAAAAGAAUUAGAAGAUGACCCUAAAAUAGAAUUAAAAGCCUUCGAGAGAUAUAUAAUAUAAAAAAAGAGGAGAUGAAUUCAUCCAUUGCACCUAAUAUAAGGAGAACUUGUGUUUGUAAUAUUCUAGCAGUAAAAAAUAACUCCCUCUACGAUGAUAAGAAGUCAAAGGAAAUCAGUAAAAUAGCUGUGAAAAUAAAGGCCCACCAAUAAUAAAUUUACAAGCCAAAUUGAACUCAAAUUCCAAGCAAUAAAUUUGAUAUAAAAUUCGGCUGCAAGUCAACAAUAAUCCAGUAGCUUCAAGUUCUUCUCAAUUCACCAAAUCUUCAAAUAAACCAACCGAUAAAACUCAGAAGCUGCAAAAUAACAGACAAAAACACAAAAAGUGAUAAAAUUAAGAAGCCAGGAUGUGCCCAAGAAGCACUAUCCUUAAAGAAAAGAUUUUGCUCCUUCUCAGAUAAUUUCUAGGUGCGUAAACAGUGGCGGAUGUAGAAAAAUAAUUUAUCGGGAACUAAAUUAAAUAAUAAUAAGACAUAAAAACUGAAAACUUGAAUAUUAUUUUUUUGAUUUAAUGCAAUCUCUAGUUAAACUGUGGCACCCGCAAUUUAAUAAUUAGGAAUUAUAAAUAUUUUGAGCUGUGAGCUUUGAUUUUUAAGUCAAAGUAUAACUUUUGUAAUUAAUAAAAUAAUAGUUUAAAUUUAAAAGGAUGGACUAUCUAAUAAUUUGACAAAACUAUUUAGAAAUAUGUUAAUUUUUCUUUAUGAAAUAGAGAUUUUUUUUUUCAGUGUGGGCUUAAACCUCCAGUGGUCCUAUAGUGAAUCCGCCUCAGUGCGUAAAGGAAUUAAAGACAGUUUGACCUUUCAGAAUUCAAUGGUGUUACAACUGUAAUAGCGCACUCCAAACUACAGUUGAUUCGAACAACAAGUUUUAAUUUGUUUUCCCUGUAAUUGUUUUGUUGAAGAAGGAGAAGAAGAAGAAAUGAAAAUUUUCAUAUAGGUAAUCAAUCACAGCAGCUUGCCUUUACGGCCUUGAAUUACCCAACGACAUCCCUCGAUUUUUGCCAAAAAUCAGCUUCAACCCGAUUUACUCCUGAUAUCCAGCAACUGCUGCAAUAUAAAGACAUGGAGUUUAACCAAAUCCAAUCGGUUCAAUGAACUGAUUUUAAUUCAAAACACAACAAAUAUAUUCGGCUUUUAUCAAGUGACUAAGAAAUGGGCCAACCCCGUGUGCUCAUUGGUGAUGACCACAUCUGUUUUGUCAAUUUGGAAUAGUGGCAUUUUGAAAUACCUCACAAUUUAUAACACUUAAUAUCAGUGGCUUUUAUUUAUUUAUUCCAUGAAUAGAUAGGAUUCGGUUUCGAUGGCUGAUUCAGAGACUUGUUAGAGAGAAUAGAGAGAAUGAAGAGUGGGUUAGAGUAAACAUAUUAUUUGCACUAAACACUUUAGUUAGGUGGCAUUAUAGUAAUUAAGUGGACCAAAUGGUUACUAGAGAAAAUACAAGAUAUUUAAAUUAAAAAAAUCAAUCAAUUAAUUUAUUUAUCCUAAGUUAGUUAUUUCAUACUGAUAAAUAUUGAAAAUUAUUAGCAUAUGAUUUGAUUAAUUGCAAACCAAAACUUCUUAUCACGCAUGUUAAUGUAAAUUUAAAGUUUGUUAUAAUUGAACAAUUAUAUAUUGUUAAACCUUGAUUGAAUUUAAUCAACCAAGAAUCCCCAAGACUAGUUAAUCUCUCUUAUAUUUGAUAAAGAAACACUAAGUAAACACAAAAGAAACAAAAGCAAAACUGAAGGCGGCAAGCAAAAAAGAACAAAUUUAUAGUGGUUCGGCUUGGAGAUGACCUACAUCCACUGAAGAACAGAGUAGUAGUCUUUAUUCAAUCACCAAGAUCAAGAUACAAGCUUAAAGAUGAAGUUACAAGCUUCUCAUUACUCGAUUUCCUCUCUCCUAAGGCUAUAAAUAUUCGCCCAAGAAAACCCAAAAAGUUCUUUCACCAGUUAGCUGAAUUCUGGUUUGUUAACAGCCAAAACUCCAGAAUUUUCCCGCUCUUGUAACAUAAUAUAACAGUCUCUGAGCCACGUGUUCGCAACACGUUAAACGAAAGCCCCAAAACGACAACUCAACAGGUCGUAAAGAUAAGUGAAAUCAUGUGAUAGCCACGUGCUUUACUUAUUCAGAAAUAGCUGAUGAAACAAGAUUGUCAUACGAUCUAAAGAGGGCUUCACUGACAUGUCAUAUACCACUACAACCGCAAAUCGACAUAACAUAUGACUUUCUGGAAACCUAGUUUCAAAUAGGGAUGGCAAAAAUCCCCACAGGGACGGUAUCUUCGGGGAUUUUUCCCAUUCGGGGAGGGUAAGGAGAUAAUUUUAUGCUCAAUUUUUUAUUCAGAGAGGGGACGGGAAAAAUUUUUUACCCAAUUUUUUAUUCGAGGAGGGGACGGGGAUGAGGUGGAAUCCCCAUCCCCUACCCAUUUCCCCAUUUUAAUUUUUAAUUUUAUUUUUAUUUUUAAAAUUACUAAUAAAUAAAUAACAAAAUUAUAAAUAUUGUUAAAAAUAAUAAAUAUCAAAAUAUUUAUAUUAUUAAACUUUUAAACUUAAUUAACUAAUUAAAGUCUUAAAUUUUUAAUCCAAACCACAAUUAUACAGGAGAGAGCUGCCUAAUUAUAAUUUACAACAGUCCUAAUCCUAAUUCGUAUCGGACGGGACAAUGAACGCAAUACCAAAUUGGUAAACCUAUUCUUGUUCGGAAAGAAUUUCCAAAAGUUGAAAUUCGUCUCAGAUUUUGAAAAGCUUGCCUAUAAAUACACAGCUCUCUGUUCUUGUGCGUUUAGGGAUGGCAAUGGGCACCGCCCGCAGCGGGUUUGCCAUUACCAAACCCAAACCCGCACAAAAUUUAAAUUACCAAACCCACCCGCAACCCGCAGCGGGUUUUAAUUUUUUUUAAAAAACCCACCCACAGCGGGUUUUAACAAUUACCAAACCCGCAAUGGUAUCCGGCGGAUUUUUUACGGGUUUCCGUAUUUAAAAUCACAAAUUUUUAAUAUAUAAAUUUAUAAUAAUAACCUCAAAUUCCAUAUAACAUAUUCAAUUUUAUAUUUAAACAAUAUAUUAAUUCGAAGGGAAAUGUUUUUAAUUUUCUUUAGGUUAUGACUUUAGAAUAGAAGAUGAGCCAUAUACACACAUACACAACUUUGAGCCUUUGACUAUUUGGUAAUUUGAUUAAUUACAUUAUUUUCUUUAUAUAUUUUUAUAUUUAAAUUAAAUUAAAAAUAUUUGAAAAACAUUAUUGCGGGUUUGGUGGAUAUCCAUGUGGGUAUCCACCGGGUAUAAGGUUAAUACCAAACCCACCCGCAUCCAUGUGCGGGUUUUAAUUUAUAAUACUAAACCCGCCCGCAACGGAUAAAAUUACUCGCAACGGGCGGGUUUUGGCGGGUGGGUUUGAGUGGGUUUGAGUGGGUUUGCGGGUACAAUUGCCAUCCCUAUGUGCGUUCCAAAUUAAAAAAAUCCCAAGCGAACAGCGCACGCUUACAAUUGUCUUUGUCAAGUCAGUCUUUGCAAAUUAAUCAAAGUCUUUGCGCGUUCAGCACUCUUCUUUGGUGGCUUUUUAUUUAUCACUCACAUCACACCACAUCCAUUCACAUGCCAUCAUUUAUGCGCCACAUCACCAUUGUCAAAUAAGCAUUCACGAUCAACAUCCACAAGUAAGUCUUGAUUCUUGCAAUUUAUAUGUUUAAUUUUUUAUUAUUAAUUUCUUUCAUUCACAUCUCAUAAGUAAACUAAGUUUUUGUCAUUUUAUAUAAUGAAAGUGGAAGACAACUCUGAUGCUUUAUUGAUUCUAUAAAAUUCUUGUGCACAAAUCUUUUUAAUUGAAAAUUUAAAUUGAUAUUAUGUUUAAUUUAUUUUAUUUUGUAUAUUUUUAGACCAAUAGAAGCAAACAUGUCAAGUGCUACACCAACACCACAAUUAGUGGAUGUAGUCCAUGUGGAUGAUGAUGGUCAAACAGAAAAUGUUAUUUCGGAUGGGUCAUCAAAAAGAGGAAGCACUAGAAAAUUAAGAUCUAUUGUCUGGGAUCAUUUUGAGAAAAAGAUAAUUAAUGGGGAACAAAAGGCAGUAUGUAACCAUUGCAAUUCCAAGUUGGUAUCAAGGCAAAAUGAUGGAACAAAGCAUUUGCAUGACCAUAUGAAAUCGUGUUUCAUGAAAAAACAAAAAGAUAUCAAUCAUUACAUGACAAAAUUGAAUACUGUCAAGGAUGAUAAAGGACAUUCAAAGGUAGAAUCUUUUGUUUUUGAUCAAGAUGUCACAAGGAAAACAAUUGCACGUGCAAUUGUCAAGCAUGAAUAUCCGUUAAGUAUCGUUGAUCAUGAAGGAUUUAGAGAGAUAUUAUCCUCGUUUAACCCAAUGUGGAAGCAUGUGUCCCAAAAUACAAUUAAAAAGGAGAUAUUGGAUUUGUAUGAGAACGAAAAGGCUAAGAAUUUGAAUGCCUUGGCGAGCAAUCAAAGUAGGCUGGCCAUCACAACAGAUAUGUGGACUGCAGAUACCCAAACAAAAGGGUACAUGGCAGUUACUGGACACUUUAUUGAUGAUUCUUGGACGUUACGGAGUCUAGUUUUGAGGUAAGGUCUUUAUUUUUUAUUUUUUGUAUUUAACUUAUUUUUUAAUGUUAAUUAAAAAAAUUUAACAAAAUAUAUAUAUAUAUUUUUUAUUUUCUUCUUGUAGGUUUCAGCAUGUAAAAGGUUCACAUACUGGCUUAAAGCUUUGUGACACAUUAUUUAAUUGCUUGAUGGAUCUCCACCUUGAACAUAAGGUAUCUUCUGUGACUGUGGACAAUUGCUCUGCCAAUGACCGCAUGAUGGAAUAUCUUUUGAUUAAGCUUAAUAAAGAUGAUCUCAUUUUACGUGGACAAUUAUUUCACAUUCGUUGUUGUGCCCAUAUAUUAAAUUUGAUUGUCAAAGAAGGUAUGACUGUGAUUAGUGAUGGAAUUGCAAAAAUUCGUGAGAGUGUUGUUUUUUGGACUGGAUCAUGUAAAAGAAAGGAGAAGUUUGAAGAAUUUGCUAGUCGUUCAAAUGUUAAAUAUGAUAAACAAUUAGUGCUUGAUUGUCCUACUAGGUGGAAUUCCAUAUAUCUUAUGAUUUCAUCUGCUUUGCAAUAUAAAAAUAUUUUUCUUCGAUUAAAGGAUAUUGAUGGACAAUAUAAGUGUUGUCCUAGUGAGGAAGAUUGGCAGUUUGCCAUUAUUUUGGAAGAGAAUUUGAAAAGUUUUUAUGAUGUCACUGAGUUAUUUUCAGGAACUAAGUAUCCAACAACAAAUGUAUUCUUGCAACAUGUGUGUGAGAUUAAAUUAUCUUUACAAGAUUGGCUUUUAUCACCUUGUGAUAGGAUUCAACAUAUGGCUCAGUUGAUGUUAUUGAAAUUUGAUAAAUAUUGGCAAGAUAUGAGUGGAAUUUUGGGUGUGGCUUGUAUCUUUGAUCCAAGGUAUAAAAAGAAGUUCAUUGAAUAUUACUUUUCUAUGGUUUAUGGUGGUGUUAAAGAGUUGUAUGUUGGGAAAGUGGUCAUCCUUUGCCGGGAAUUAGUGGAAGAGUAUCAAUUGAAGUUUUCACCAACUGUUUAUUGCUUUGAUUAUACUGGUAGUAGUUCUUCUACUAGAUCUACAUGAGAUUCUUAUAAGAAAGCAACCAAAUGGAUGACAAGUUUUGAUGAUUAUGUAAACAAUGGAGAUUGUGCAGUUGUUGCAGAUGAAUUAGAUUCAUAUUUGGAUGAGAAAGUUAUAUCUCGGAUGGAAGAUUUUAAUAUUUUGAGUUGGUGGAAGACAAAUGCUAAUAGGUAUCCUACAUUAGCUCGAAUUGCUAGAGAUAUUUUGGCAAUUCCAAUUACAACAGUUGCUUCUGAAUCAGCUUUUAGCACCGGUGGUAGAGUUGUGAGCCCACACCGUAACAAACUUCAUCCAAGCACAUUGGAGGCCUUAAUGUGCUGUCAAAGUUGGUUACGAGCUUACAAUAGCGGUAUGAGUUUAUUUUAAUAUGAUUAAUUUAAAAUCGAAAAUAAAAAAUGUAUUAGACUAUUAAUUAUUCGGGGACCGGGGACCCUCGGGGAUCCCGCAUCUCUCAAUUUGCCACAUUUCUCGAGGAAGAACAGGAGGAGCAAGACGAGCAGGAGGUAAAUAGUUUUAUUAAAAAUAUUAAUUAAGUAUCUACAUUUAUUUCAUUUAUUUUAUUGCCGAUAUAAAAAUAAUUUUUUUUCUAAGAUAUAUUUUGAACUUUAUUUUUAUCUGAAUUUUUUUUUAUUUUAAUAUAAUUAAUUUAAAAUCGAAAAUAAAAAAAUGUAUUAGACUAUUAGUUAUUCGGGGACCGGAGACCCUUGGGGAUCCCUUGUUAUUAUUCGGGGAGGGGAUGAGAAUUCUCUCAAGCAAUUCUGACGGGGACGGGGACAUACGCAAAAUAUCGGGGAUGGGUAUGGGGAGAUUGGUCCCCUCCCCAUUGCCAUCCCUAGUUUCAAAGCUCAUACUUCAACAUUCUCCACCUUGAGCUUGAAACCCUCAUGAACCUGCUACUCUUCUCUUCAACUACUUGUCACUUACUCUUGACAGAUUCUUGCUAAUUCUAAGCAAAGCUUAAACUUAGCAGUUGUAACUGAUUUAGUCAGCAUAUCAGUAAUAUUCGUUUGUAUGAAUCUUCUGCAGCUUCACUGUUGCUUUUGACACUUCCAGCCUUAUGAAAUGCACUUUGAUAUCGAUAUGCUUGGUUCUUUUAUGGUGUGUUUGAUUUUUGCUUAAACAAAUAACACUCUAGCUGUCACAGUUUAUUACUAUUGACCUCUGAUCAACACCAAGCUGUUUAAGUAUUCCCUUUAGCCAGAUUGCUUCUUUAACUGCUUCUGCAGUAGCUAUGUAUUCAGCUUCUGUUGUUAAAAGUGCCACAACACUCUACAUUUGAGCCUUCCAAUUGACAGUACAAUUGUUGAAUAUGAAAAGAUAUCCUGUAAGUGACCUUCUUCUAUCUAGGUCCCCAGCAUAAUUAGCAUCCAUAUAGCCAACAGUCUAACUGUUAUCUUGUCUUUGUCCUCUAUACAUUAAACUAUAUGUUGUUGUUCCAUUUAGGUACCUGAGUAUCCAUUUUACAGCCCGCCAAUGUUCCUUACCAGAUUUGCCAUAUACCUGCUUCCAACACUCACGACAUGGGAUAAACCAGGUCUAGUUAAGACCAUAGCAUACAUCAGACAACCUACAACACUUGCAUAAGGUAUAUUCAUCAUCUCAGACACUUCAUCUUAUGCUUUUGGACACUGUUGUUUAGAUAACCUGAAAUGAGGUGCUAAAGGAGUUUGAACUGGCUUUGAGUUUGCCAUUCCAAACUUAUCAAGUACCCUUAUGAUGUAUUCUUCAUGACUAAGAAACAAAAUUCCAGAUUUUCUGUCUAUAUGUAACUACAUUCCUAGAAUUUUCUUUGCUGGACACAAAUCCUUCAUGUCAAACUCUCCCUUAAGUUUCUGUUUCAAGUUUUCAAUUAGACUCAUACUCACACUGGCAAUGAGCAUAUCAUCUACAUACAAUACCAGAUAAACUAUCACCCCUGACUCCUCUCUGAAAUAGACACAACAAUCCACGUUACACCUCUGAAAAUUUUGCUCCAACAUAAAACUGUCAAAUCUGAGGUACCACUGUCUUGGAGACUGUUUAAGUCCGUACAGAGAUUUCUUCAGUUGACAAACCUAAUCAGCCUUUGAUUCAUCUAUAAAACCUUCAGGUUGUGCCAUUACAAUAUGCUUUUGUAACUCCCAUGUAAGAAUGUUGUUUUUACAUCCAUUUGUUCAAAGUGCAUAUUGUUUACAGCCACCGGUGACAGGAUGAUUCUUAUAGAGGCAUGCCUUACUACAUGUGAAAAUACCUCAGUAAAAUCAAUGCCCUCCUUUUGAGUGAACCCCUUUGCAACAAGUCUAACUUUGAAUCUCCUUGGUUCCACCCUUGAGAUGCCGUGCUUGAGUUUGUAAAUCCAUUUGCAGGCUAUCACUUUCUUCUUUUCUGGUUUUCACAAGUGCCCAGGUGUCAUUCUUAUACAAGGAAUCCAUUUCCUUUUUCAUGGCUUUCAACCACUGGUCUGCAUUCUUCCCUGAAACAGCUUCCUUAUAUGAUUUAGGUUCAUCAUAGUCUAGUUCAUAAGCUACUGUCAAUGCAUAUGCAAUCAAAUCUGCAUAUGCAUACUUUUUAAGUGCCCUUAUAACUCUCCUUUCUCUAUCCCUGGCUAGCUGAUAAUCCUGCAAUGCUGUUUGACUGUCUGGAGUUUCAUUAGAAUCAUUUAUUUCUCUGCAUUCAUCUUCUACUACCUCAUCAGAUAUUGUAUUUCCAAAUUUUUGAGUAAGCUCCACCUUAAUCUGAUUAUUAGGUAAACCAAAGUCCUUGUCUAUGUCUCUAAGUUUCUGUGUAUAACUAUUAAGCAUUUCUUGUUCAUUGAAGACCACAUCUUUACUUACUAUACACCUAGGUAGUUUUAAAUUAGUUCACCAAAUCCUAUAACCUUUUAUACAUUCAGGAUAUCCAAGAAAAACACAUUUUAAAGCCCUAGGCUCAUGUUUCCCUUGUUUUACAUGUGCAAAUGCAGGGCGACCAAAUAUCUUCAAAUCAAAAUAGUUUGCAGCCUUGUCAGACCACAUCUCUACAGGUGUUUUAAAGUUUAUGGCACUUGAUGGACUUUUGUUGACUAGAUAGCAAGAUGUCAUCAAUGUUUCAGCCCAUAAAGACUGAGGAAGUUUUGAAUGAAUCAACAGACACCUUACUUUAUCCAUGAGUGUUCUGUUCAUCCUCUCAGCAAGUCCAUUUUGCUGUGGAGUAUGCCUUACUGUCUUGUGUCUUACAACUCUAUUAUGAGCACAGAAAUCAUCAAACUGUUGAUUGCAGAAUUCCAAUCCAUUAUCAAUCCUUAGCCUCUUGACCUUUCUACUGGUUUCUGUUUCUACUAGUGUUUUCCAUUACUUAAACUUCUCAAAGACUUCAUUUUUACCCUUCAAAACAUACACCCAAACCAUUCUAGAAUAGUCAUCAUUCAAUGAUAGGAAGUAUUUAGCUCCAUCUAAAGAUACUGUCUGUGCUGGCCCCUACAGAUCAAAGUAGAUGUAAUCUAAGGUCCCCUUAGUCUUAUGCACUGCAGUUUUAAAGCUAGUUCUAGAGGAUUUACCUAGAACACAUACCUCACAGAACUCAACAGGACAUAAUUUAUCACCCCUUAAGACUCCCUGACUUUCUAAGACUUUUAGCCCAUUCUUACUCAUGUGCCCCAAUCUCAUAUGCCAUAUAAGUGUCUUAUUAAGAUUCUGACUUGUUGAGACACUAACCUCCCCUGACACAGCAAUUUGUUGCAGCACAUACAAGCCAUUAUUUUUAGUCCCCUUCAUUAUCACCAUUGACCCUUUAAUAAUCUUCAUAACACCAGAUUAUAUUUUAAUGGUACAACCCAUUUGAUCAAGAAUUCCUAGGGAUAUUAAGUUCCUCUUUAAAUCAGAAACAUGCCUAACUUCAUUAAUCACCCCAUCAAACAUCUUAAGUCUAAUGGUUCCAAGACCAAUUAAUUUGCAAAGUGAGUUGUUUCCCAUCAUAACUUCCCCACCAUUAAAAAGCAUAUAAAUGGAAAAAAAAACAAGAUUCUUAUCAGGGCACAUGUGAUAAGUACAUCCAGAAUCUAGAACCCACUUACCAUUGGUUUGAGUUCCAGUGGCCAAAAGUACACUAGUUGAGUCAUAGCCAUCAUCAUCCAUUUCUUCGGAUGCAACAUCAACAUCUCUAUUCUUUUUGAGCCCAUCGUUUCCCUUGUUCUUUCUUUCUGAACAGUCUCUCUUGAAAUGUCUUUCUUUGUGUCACUGGAAACAUUUCAGAUUCUUAUUCUUUGACUUAGACUUCCCUCAUUUUUUGUUCUUGUUAUUGUUAUCUUUUUUUUUCUGGUCUACCCCUUAUUGUUAAGCUUUCUCCAUCAUUUACUUCUGACUUCUUUGUCACCUCUUUAGAACUGAGAGAAUAUUUUACAUCAGCCAUUGUAAUUGACUACCUUCCAUACAACAAAGUAUCUACAAUAUGUUCAUAGGAAGAUGGGAGAGAUGAUAACAAGAUUAUUGCCUUGUCUUCAUCUUCCAGUUUCAUGUUGAUAUCUUCAAGAUCAAGAAUGAUCAUGUUGAAGUUAUCAACAAAAACUUUUCAUUUGUUUAAUUGCUCAUGCCACAUAGUAUCACCUAUACUCUCAGUGACUUGACCAAUAGUUCAAUAAGUCAUUUGUAACCUCGAUAACCCCGUCAGUAGUUUAGUACGUCACCUGCAACCUUAAUGACCUAGUCAGUAGUUCAGUAAGUCAUUUGUAACUACGCGCAAUGAGCUAAAACCUUAAAUACAAUUUUAAAUAUUUCAAUAUGAAUCAUUGAGUAAUAUUUCGGUAAAACUCUCUUAUAAGACAUUGAAUUGGCAAAGCUUUAUGAAUAUUUUAAAGAAAAAUAAUUUAUGGAAAGACAAUUUAAAAGUCAUUUUAAAAAUAAUUUAAGAAGACAUUUUAAAUAAACUUUUAAUCAAAAUAUAAUUUGUUAUCCUAAGUUAUAAGAGUAAAAUAACUUCAAAACCAUAAAAUGCCAAUCCAUAUGAACACGAUUAUUCAUUUCGUAGAUAUUUACAUAUAUAACUAUAAUAAACAUUAUGCAUGAAUUUAUUUACCUUGAUCCAAAGCAACCAAUAAUAAUCCCAAUCACAUAAGCUCACUCUUAGCCUAUAAUUAUUAAGGUAAGCUUCUUACCAAUAUUUAUUCAAUUCUGACCUUGAUAAUAAAACAUAAAAAUCCUUAAACUAUUUACUCUUAUUUAAGCACAUCAAUUCAUUAAACUACACUAGACCAUUUUACAAGAGCUGAUUUCUAACAAGUUAAAAUUAUGUCAAAAAAACUAUAAAUAUUACGAAAAAACUACUAUGAACAUAUUGGCAUUCAAUAUAAAAGUUAACAAGAUUAAUUAGAGUUCAUAAACAUCUCUGAAAACUAAUUUUCCCCGAAAACAUCAAAACUGCCCAGUGAUGAUAUAAUAGAAGACGGUUGAUUCAAAAAUUCAAAACUUUAGUUAUAUGUAUUCAAAGUUUUGACAAUUAGAGGAGACAAUACAGAAUCAUAAUUAAAAUUUUUAAGGCAUUUACUAAUUAAAAAAAUGACCCAAACUCGCUUCAAUAUCAACUCUCGUAAUUUUAGAAAACAGUUUACAAGAUUGUGGCAACCCAACUCUAUGAUUUUUAUAUAAAGCCAAAAAUUACGAAAUUAAGGGCAUUUAGGUUAUGAAAUAAAUUAUAAAAGUGAGAAUUGUUGCUAAAAAUCAGAAUUUUCCAGCACCAGAGUUCCAACUUCAAAAAAUCAAAACAAUUAAUAUACAAUGAGUUUUUGAAUGAUCAACAUAUGGAUUGAAAGACAAAGAUACCAAGUUCAAUAACUAUAAAGUUUUAUGCAUGAAACGUAAUGAUAACAAUAGUAUUAUAAUAUUGUAUCUAUAUUGUUCAUAACUUUCAGGAUAACAUAAUAGCACUACCUUCACUCAAUAAAAACAUAAAUCAAUACUUUUACAAUUGCAAAAUUUAGAGUUGCUAUUCACGAUUGCAAGCUUUUUGACUUAAGAAGCAGAGGAUACCCAUUUACUUGGUCAAACAAGCAGCUUGAUAAUGUUUUAUUGAGGAAAAACUGGAUAGGUUUAUGUGCAAUUAAGGGUGGAAAACUGAAUUUUAUGAUGACUUGGCUGCAAAUUUAGUUCAUUGGGAGUCUGAUCAUAGCCCAAUCAUGAUAGAGAUCAAUGGGAGACAGAGGAGCCUAAUGUAUGAGAAGAAAACCUUCACUCUAUCAAUUAUAAAGACAUGUGGAGCUUUUAUGAAACAUGUAGGAGCAUUGCGAAGGAGGAGUUGUCCAAAUGGUACACUAGCAAUGAAGCAAGUCAAGUCCAUAUGUUUUAAACUAUUGCUAAAAGAUCAACGGAACAACUGAUUCUUUGGAGCCACGAAAACAUUUGGUGGUAGAGAUAAGAAACUGAAAAAGCUAGUGAAAAGGUUGAAACAAGCUAAAGAGAGAGAGGAUCAAUAUGAAAAGGGGAAUGAAAUCAAAAGAAUUGAAAAGCAAAUUCAAAGCAUGCUGAUGGAUGAAGAGGUGUACUGAAAACAGAGGUCAAUGGCUGACUGGUUGAAAGAAGGGGAUAAGAAUAUCAAAAUUUUUCAUGCCAAAUCUUCUUUGAGAAGGAGAAAGAACUUGAUUAAGGGCAUUAAAGAUAAUUUAGAGAUUUGGCUUGAGGAUAUGGGGGAUAUAGAGAGCAAAUUAUGUGACUAUUUUCAAGGUUUUUUUCACUACUUCACAACCAAAUAUGGCUCAAGUAGAGGCUGCUUUGCAGAGAAUGAGCCUAAAAGUUGACUCAGGGAUAAAUGCUUUCUUAGAACAGCCUUUUUACAGCAGAGGAAAUCCAAUCAAACUUUCUCAAAUGUGCCCAGCAAAGGCUCUAGGCCUAGAUAGAUUACAAGCUAUUUUUUUUCUAAAAGCCCUAUAAAGUUGUUAAAAUAGGAGUCAUUUCAACUUGCCUUUAUGUUCUAAAUCAGCAAGGUACCAAUACUCCACUAAACAAUACAUACAUUGCUUUGAUUACCAAAGUUGUUAAGCCUAGAAAAGUCAUUGACUACAGACCAAUCAGCCUUUGUAAUAUGAUAUUUAGACUAAUAGCCAAAGUCAUAGCUAAUAGGUUAAAACAAAUCCUUCAUUAUAUUAUAUCACCAAUGCAGAGUGCCUUUGUUCCAAAUAGAUUGAUAACAUAUAACAUUAUUAUUGGCUAUGAGUGUUUACAUAAGAUUAAGCAUAGCAAGGGAAAAAAUAAGGGUUCAGUGGCUCUAAAGCUAGCUAUAAGCAAAGCUUAUGACAUGGUUGAGUGGUCUUUUUUAAGGUAUACUAUGGAAAGACUAGGCUUCUCCAACAAAUGGAUAAACUUAAUUAUGGACUGUAUAACCAUCCCUUUUUUUCUAUGUCAUUAUUAAUAGUGUUGCAAAGGGCCUUAUACACCCUCAAAGGGGUUUAAGACAAGGUUGCCCCUUAUCUCUCUACUCGUUCUUCAUGUGUGCAGAGGUUUUUUCUAAUAUGCUGAUGAAUACAGAGGAAAAAAAAAACUAAUCCAUGGCCUGAAAUUUGAUGAAAAAUCUUACAGUCUCAUAUUCAUAAAGGCUUCCAUAAAAGAUUGCAAACAUUUGAAAAAAAUAUUUAAUUGUUAUGCAGCAGCUUCUGGACAACUCUUCAAUUUCGAGAAGUUUUCUAUGUUUUUCAGUGGCAAAGUCUCAGGAGAGUAAGUGGCAGCAAUUAAAAAAAAAAUUCAACUUAAUGUAGUCUCCAGACAUGAAAUGUAUUUAGGAUUACCUUCAAUGGUGGCUAGAAAGAAAACAAGUUUCUUUAAUGAGCUUAAGCUUAGGGUCUUGAAUAAAGUCUCUAGUUGACAACACAAGCUGUUUUCCAAUAGGAGCAAAGAGAUUCUUAUUACGCCAGUUGCCAGGCAGUCCCAGCUAUACCAUGAGCAUCUUUACAAUCCUUUUAGGCCUUUGUAAUGAUAUCUAGAGAGCCAUUGCAAGGUUUUGGUAAGGGUGAAAGGAGGAUAAGAAAAGGAUCUAUUGGACAAAAUAAGAAAGAAUGAGUUGUGCCAAAAGUAGAGGAGGGGUAGGCUUCAGAGAUAUGUCAAGCUUUAAACAAGCCUGAGUUGCAAAGCGAGGGUGGAGGCUAAUUCAAUACCAAGAUUCAUUGAUGGCGAAAGUUAUGAAAGAUAUAUACUUUAGGCAAAAUGACUUUUUGAAGGCUAAGGCAUGUUAUAACCCCUCAUUCAUAUAGAGAACUAUGUUAUGAGGUAGGCAGGUUCUUCAAAAAGGCCUGAGAUGAAGAAUGAGAAGGGGAGACAAAAUCUUAAUUCAGUCCAGCAACUGGCUUCCCAAACCUACAAUUUUCAAACCAAUUAUCAGGCCAUCUUUGCCCAUAGAAGCUAAAAUAUCAGAACUCAUUGGCUCAGAUCACUAGUGGAAUGAAAGAUUAAUUGAUGCAAAUUUUGCAAAUGAGGAUGCAUAGUGUAUAAAAGUAAUACCACUUCUUAGAACUCCACAAGAGGAUGUGUUGUUAUGACACUAUGACAAAAAGGGGAUGUACUCAAUAAAGAGUGGUUAUCAUAGAGCCCUCAACUUUAAAUUCUCUAAACUUCCAACAGGUUCAAAAAGGGGAUUGCAGGGAUGGCACAAAAUCUGGAGGUUAGAUUUACCAGAGAAGAUCAAGAUUUUUUUAUGGAGAACUGUAAGGAAUUUGCUAACAACGGCUGAUAAUUUGUGGAAGAGAAAGGUCAUGCAGGAACCGAUAUGCCAGAUGUGCAAAGCUAAGUGUGAAGAUAUUUUCCAUGCUCUGAUGGAAUGCAAGGUGGCUAGGAAAAUUUAGAAAUUCACGCACUUGGAAGAUGAAGUUAAACAGAUUAUUAGAAAAGACAUAUUGAGUGUGAUGUAUAAAUAAUAGACAGCUUGGAUAAUAAUGAGUUUAACUAUAUAGCUGCAAUAUGGUGGAUUACGUGGAAUGCAAGAAACAAGCUUAUCUUUCAAGGGAAGAGGCCAAAUCUCAUUUUAUUAGCAACCAAAGCUAGAGUUGUUAUGGAUGCUUACAAAAAAGUGUAGGGAAAGCCAAAAGAAUCCAAAACAGAUUUUCAAACUAGGAAGCAACAUGAAUGGAAACCACUGUUGAGUGUUAGAAAAUGCAUAUUUAUAAAGGAGAAAACCGUCAUUUUACAUUUCAAGUUUUACUACCAACCCUUACUUUUAUGUAUUUAACCUUCUUGUGAUUUAAUUACAUGUGUUUUAUUUUAAUUAAGCAUUUUAUGUAGUUUAGGGGCAUUAUAGUCAUUUCACAAUAAAUGAGAGAUCAGACGGCAAAACGGACAUCACUUUUGAACUCAGGACGGUCGAAAACCUUAGGAGGAGUAUAAAAGGAAAAAUGGAACUAUUCAUAUGUACGGUAUUGCCUACAUUACUGUUCACGACACUGUUCACAUAGACGGAUCGAUGACGUGGCAUUGGCCGAUGAUGUGGCAUUGACUGAUGAGGUGUCACGAUCCUGUUGGGCUAAAAUUCUUAUGUACUGUUGAUGGUGACGUGGCAGCAUAUCAGUGGACGAAAAAUCUCGCGUACGGUACAUGCAUCACACAGGAUUAUUUUCAACCAAACCGCAUCACUGUUCACUCGGGUCAAACCGUGUUACUGUUCAUCCGCGUGGUCAAACCGUGGACUCUGCUGUACGGCCAAGGCGGAUGUACGGUACAGCAGGUGGCGCAAUCCUGAGCGUCCAAACUGUUUUUAAUCCUAUGGCCAUGAUUUACUCCAUGUAUCUAUAAAAAAAGGGCCUCUCACCCUUAAUUUGAUAUCUCUGAAUCCAUUUUUGGGAUCCAUUUUCUGUAAUUCCCUUUUCAUCUUGUAUUUUCUUCGUAUUUUAAUAAAUUCUCAUUUUGCCUCUAGUUCAAUUAUGAGUGGCUAAUUUUCUUUCAAGCUUGGGUUGAAGGUGAAGUCUCAACAUGUGUCAUGGGCUUAAUUUGGUAAAUUUAUUUUCUCUUCCCCUCUAAUUUUUGUGGAUGUUUUGACUUCUCGUCGACAAAUAAUACUAAUCUUGUCUAGUACCGCCUUGGUUUCACCGGCCCUCUAGUACAAGGUUAUUAUUAUUUGGCACGAUAAGCCCUUAGCACCAUAUUGAUUAGAGUGUGGUUCAUGAGGUGUGGAUUCCCCCCUCAUGAUUUAAUUGGCAUUAAUACGGAUUAUUUAACCCAUGAUGCAUGUUGAUACGGAUCUAGAUACCCAAGUAUGUCAUUUCAAUAGAUUUCGCUUCAAUUUAUUCUCGCCAUUGCAAUUCCAAUUUUAGGAUAAUUUAAAUCACUUCUACCACAAUUUCAACCACCCAUUUACAAAAUUAAUUCUACAUAUAAUUAAAAUCCACCUCCUCGUGGGAUCGACACUCGUCACCAUUGAUCUAUAGUACAAUAGAUUCGUGCACUUGCGAGUACAUUAAAAUUUCCACAACAACCACUACCUAUCAAUCAUUAUAAAAUUAAUGUUGAUGCUGCUGUUCAGAAUAAUAAGCAGAAAAGGGGAUUGGGGGUUGUGAUAAGGAACUCAUCAGGGUAGGUGAUAGCUGCAGCAAUCAAAAAUAUAAUUUUUUCAUAGGAAUGCGGUCUUUCUAGAAGCUCAAGCUAUAGAGUGGGUUUUGGAGGCCACGAAGGAGGUAAACCUCGCUAACUUGAUAAUGGAAACAAACUGUAGUGAGGUGGCUGACCUGGUCAACAACAAAAUCAGCAACAAAACAGAGAUAUGGUGGACAAUUUCGAAGAUCCAAAAAAGCAGUAGAGAUUUGCAAUCUCUUGUAGUCCAAUAUGUGCCAAGGCAAUGCAAUGCCAUUGCCCACUCUCUUGCCAAGAGAACUUUGAAAAGCUCGGAUACUGUCAUUUGGUCAGGUGAAUACCCAACAAAUGUUUUGUUAUUGUUCUCUAAUUCUAGUUGAAUGGAAAGUUUCAUUUUCUUAAAAAAAAAAAACAUAAAUCAAUACAUGAUCAUGCUUUCAUAAUUAUAUCAAUAUAACGCACACAAAAUCAUUCAAUCAAUCACAUAAAAUCACAAAUAAAACUAGAAUUUUAAAGGAUUAUAAAUUCUUACCUACUUCAAAACAAAAACUAAAACUCAAGAACUUGUUUUAUGGAAAUAUACUUCAAAACUAAAAGCUAAAUCUUAUCCUAUUCUUAAAAAAAAAACGCGAGUUCACUCUUAUGUAUGCUGCUGUAUAUAUAUAUAUAUAUAUAUAGCUUUUAGGGUUUUGAGAAACAAAGCAGCGUACGAGGAAUUUUUAUAAAGCCAAGGUUUUUAGCACUCUUACCUAUUAAGAAAUAUAUUUCCUCUUUUCAUGAGGUAAUUAAUAAAUGGGUAAAUCAAAUAAAUACAAAUAAAUAAAGAAAAAUUAAAAAACCCUUAGAAUUAUUUGCCUAAAAUACUAUUUUCUCUAAAAUAGAUAUAUAAUAAUAAUAAUAAUACAACAAAAAAAUAACGGGUGUUACAUUUGCUACUAAUUUUAUAGCAAUUGGGCUUGCACUCAUUGGGUUUAUCAGUGCUUUUUGGGUCCUUGGUGUAUUCCACCUAGUUUAUCUAGUAUUAUUCAUCUGGAUGCACAGGAAGUCCCUCAUGUUAGACAAUAGUGUUGCAUAUCUUUUUUGGUUUAUUGCCGUGCUUACUUGCCUUUAUUAUGUAUUUUUCUUUGUGACUAAAGAUUUUGAUUCUUAUCCCCCUCCUUAUGUUUUCCUCCAUUCUUUGAUCUAUACUAUAGGUAGAGGUCCGGCCUAACCCCCAAUCAUGUUGGUGGUUUUAAAGAAAAAAAAUUCAUUUCAACUUUUUCUGGCUCUAGGUUGAGAUUUGCUGAAAGCUUGAGUUCCCAAUCGUGAAGCCUCUUGAAUCCUUGGCGAGGGUCGGCCUAACGGAUCUGAGCCAGAUUGGCCUCGGACCUUUUUUGUUGUCUCUAGUACUUUUCCUAUAUUGUGUUGCCCCAACAAUAACAAUUAUUGAAUGAUUCUCUUCUCUUAAUAAUAAUUAAUGGCUUUCAACUUCCUCAUUUCAAAUUAGGGUUGGCACAUACAAAACAAGUGCUUGUGUCCUAUAUUUAAACUUCGUUUGUUAUAGUUUUUCAAAUACAACUUCUAUAAAUAGAAUUUUUAUUAGCAGAGUUUUUAUAAAUAAAGUUUUAGUAAAAAGAAAUUAUUUAUUUGGUUGUCCAUACGAGUUUUUAUUAAAAAUUAUAAAAUUACUUAAAUAGUUAAGGCUUGUUAAAGUAAUGUUAUGAAAUGAAUGAAAUAAGAUUAUUAAACUAGUGAAUGAUAUUUUAGAAAUUAGAACAUUUAAAAAAAAAAUUCAAUUUGUACUCUUAAAAGUUAGAAGUAAAAUACCGUGUACAAUAACAAAACAAUAAAAAAUAAUAAUAUAAAGAGCUUAUUUAAUUAAAUAAAUAUUUAUAAUUAUUUGAUAAAUUAUACCAAAUAGGCACUUAGCCACAAGAUCAGCUUUAGUAUACAAUCGCAAGGAAUAAUUUUAAAGUGCUUCCACGUGUCUCUCUCCUUUUACACACGUUUUGCAAACAAAUGAUCAGAGCUUUAGAAGGUAACAUCGAUAUGUUAGAUUAUUUUUUAAUUAAUCUAAUAUUUGGGGCCACACAUGAAACAAAUAAAAUGUGUGCGCUAUUAUUUAGUUAGCCAAUAAUUAAGUGAUCUAAUUAAUAUAAUUAAAUGGCUAAGGGUAUAAUUGUUGUGGGUUAAAUGUAUAGAUACCUGAGUUUUAAUUAUCACUUUAAUGAGGGGUUGAAGUGAUAAUAAACACAUGAGAACUGCUAAACGAUUUUUAUUAAAACCGUCAGUUACGAUUAUUUUAAAAAGGAGGUUGUGGUCCCCAAUCUCUCUUAACUCUUAGUAAUUCUAAAAAAUCUCUCAACAAGAAUUCUUAAUCAAAGAGAAGAGAUUAGAUUGGAAGACCAUCACCAAAAUCAAGAAUUUUUUGUAUAACAACAAUGGAUUCAGGUACGCUUAUGAAAUUAUAGUACUCAAUAAUUUUAAUCUGGAUUUUUAUGAAGAUUUAGGGAAUAACAAGUGGCAUCAGAGCCUCAUCCAUGAUUAAAUUAUUGAGUUGCAAUUUUUGAUUAAUGGUUAUAUUCGAAUGAAAUUGUUUAUCCUUGACUUAGUUAUUGGGAAAAGUUGAAAUUGGUUUUGUUGGCCUCAUGGCGAAACGAAACUACUGGUGUUGCACACGUGAAAUCAUGUGCAAAGUUCGAGAUUAAAUUAAACCACUUAAUUGUCUUAAUUGCAUAUUUGUUUUUAUUCUUGUGAACAUUUAGAUUUCCAAGUUCGGUGGUCAAGUAUGCUACAAUUUCGGUUUAAUAGUGUUUUUAAAUUAAACCACUUCAAUUAAGUUUUAUUGGCCGUGAUUUAAAUGAAAUAGAUUUGAUUGAGUUGGCAAGUUUCAGUUUUGAUGUACUAAUAAUCAUAAAUUGCUUUGAGUUUAAUUGGCCACGGUUUCGGUUUUAAUUUUAAUGAUAAUAUGUAAUUCAAAUCAAUUAAAUUAAAUUUGAAGUGGCUUGUUUCAGUUUUGAUAUAAUAAUAAUAUCAGUUUACUUUGAAUUUGAAUUGGCCAUGUUCUAAUUUCGGCUUCGGCUUAAUUAUAAUUUUAAAUUAAAUCAAAUCAAUAAAGAUGCAGUGGCCAUGUAUGUCACGGUUUCGGGUUUAAUAAUGAUUUCAAAUUCAAUCACAUGAAUUGAGUUUUUUAAUUCUUCCAGUGGCCAUGUUUUAAGUGCAUUAUAAUUGGUUUCAAACUGGGCAAAUAUAUAAUAUGCUAAUGAAAUCAAAUCAAUUUAAUUUGUAUAUUUCCGGUUUUAUAAUUUUUAAAUUAAAAUGCUUCGUAACAUUUAUGUUAAUUAUUGGUCUAACAUUAAAAAUAUACUAAUUAAAGCGGGAAGUCACCAAAGUGAUGUCUCUUGUGUAGAUUAGUUUAUUUGGGAUGUUAGAUGUUUGUGUUUGUAUAAUUCCUGCAGAUGUUAAUCGACUCAAAGGAAGGUUAAUAUUUGGCCUAAUUGCACACACACUUGUGAUGGUAAAUUUGUGAUGAUUAUUAGGAUAAUUUAAUGUGAGUAAUGUACUAAUCCAAAGAUAGAUUCAUUACUUGACAUAACUUAUUGUCAAAAUUUGAUCAUUGCAACAAGAGUACCAUUUACAGUUAGUAUUAUAAUCCAAAGACUUGUUACUAAUGUUGUGCUAGGUAUCUUGAAUUGUUAUAAUUUGCUUUUAAAUUUUUAAAGAUUGUUAAUUGAGAUGUUUAAUGUGACCAUUAUUUAUUUAUUUAUAUUUUAUUUAUUUUUGUUCUCUAUUCAGCUUUUUUGUCUGCUACUUCUAUAUUUGCAAAUAUGAAUAGUGUCUCGGUUAUGAAUUAGACUAAUUUUAAGGACUGAAAAGAGAAUAUGAUGAUUCUCUUAGGCUGCAUGGAUCUAGAUUUAUCAUUCAGAUACCCUAAGCCGGACGAACUCACUGAUGAUAGUACAUCUUAGGAUGUGUUGUACUAUGAGAAGUGGGAUCGAUCUAAUAGGAUGAGUCUUAUGAUCAUGAAGCGCAGUGUUCCAUAAGUAUUUAGGAGUGCUAUAAGCAAUGAGGUUACAAGUGCUAGUGAGUUUCUUGCCGAAAUUCAAAAUCGUUUUACAAAAAACGAUUAGGCUGAAAUAAGUACACAUUUAGCGAGCUUGAUUUCAAUGAAGUAUAAAGGCAAGGGAAACAUUCGGGAGUACAUCAUGGAGAUGUCUCAUCUUGCUUCUAAGCUUAAGGCAUUAGGGCUCAACCUAUCUGAUGAUUUGGUUGUGCAUUUGGUCCUUAUCUCUCUCCCAGCACAAUUUAAUCAGUUCAAAGUCAGUUACAACUGUCAGAAAGAGAAGUGGAAUUUCAAUGAACUGAUUUCCUUUUGUGUGCAAGAAGAAGAGAGAUUGAAGCAAGAGAAAACCGAAUAUGCACAUGUGGUAAGCACUUCUAAAGAUAAGGGCAAAAGAAAGAAAAAGGGUAAAGCUGCUACUUCUAAGGGUCCAGAUCCAAAGAAACCAAAAGCCGGGCAUGGCUGUUUCUUCUGCGGCAUGCCUGGACAUGUGAAGAAGAAAUGUCAAAAAUAUCACGCAUGGCGCGUAAAGAAAGGUACAUUUCUGCGUAAAGAAAGGUACAUUUCUUACUUUGGUUUGUUCUGAAACUAAUUUAGCUUCAGUACCAAGAAACACAUGGUGAAUAGAUUCAGGUGCUACUACUCACAUUUGUGUUUCACUGCAGGGUUGCCUGAGCUACCGGCCGCCAAGUGAUGCUAAAAAAUGCAUUUAUGUAGGAGAUGGCAAGACGAUGGAAGUUUAAACAAUUGGACAUUUUAGAUUACUUAUGAAAACUGGUUGUUAUUUGGAUUUGUUAGAUACUUUUGUUGUUCAGUCUUUUAGACGGAAUUUGAUUUCAGUUUCGGUUUUGGACAAAUCUGAUUAUUCUUGUUCAUUUGUAAACAUACAAUUUAGUUUAUCUAUCAAUUCUAAUGUUAUUAGAACCAGUUUGCUUAAUGCUAAUGGCAAUCUAUAUUUGCUAGAAACUGUUUUAAGUUAUAAUGAAAACAUGCAUUUUAGUUCCAGAGGUACAAAGCGUAAAUUAGAGAAAGAAAAUUCGGCCUCAUUAUGGCACAAACACUUAGGUCAAAUCUCUAAAGCUAGAAUUGAGCGAUUAGUAUCUGAUGGGAUUUUAGGAUCUUUUGAUUUUAUAGACCUUGAUGUUUGUAUUGAGUGUAUCAAGGGAAAACAAACCAAAAGUAAGAAAUUUGGUGCCUACAGAACUUCAGACAUCUUAGAAUUAAUUCAUAUAGACAUCUGUGGACCAUUCCCCACGGCUACUUAGAAUGGUCAACAAUAUUUCAUUAUCUUCAUAGACGACUAUUCGAGAUAUGGCUAUAUAUUCCUGAUUCAUGAAAAAUCACAGUAUUUGGAUGUGUUCAAAACGUUUAAAGCCGAAGUUGAGUUACAACUCAACAAAAGGAUUAAAGGUGUCAGGUCUGAUCGUGGUGGUGAAUACUACGGUAGAUAUGAUAGUUCAGUUGAACAACGUCCAGGACCGUUUGCUAAAUACCUAGAAAAUGUGGAAUUGUCCCUCAAUAUACCAUGCUAGGAUCGCCUAGCAUGAAUGGUGUAUCUGAGAGACGAAAAUGAACUCUUAAGGAUAUGGUGAGGAGUAUGAUUGGUCAUUCUACUUUACCAGAAUGACUCUGGGGCGAAGCACUCAAAACAACAACUUAUAUCUUAAAUCGAGUGCCAACUAAAGCGACUGCUAAAACGCCAUAUGAGCUUUGGACAGGUCGAAAGCCUAGUUUAAAGCAUUUACAUAUUUGGGGAUGUCCAGUUGAAGCGAGGCCUUAUAGGCCUCAUGAAAAGAAAUUGGACUCCAAAACUGUAAGCAAUUACUUUGUUGGCUAUGCGGAGCGAUCAAGGGGGUUUAAGUUUUAUGAUUCUAGUGCACAAUUAAUUUUUUAGACGGGAACUGCAGUAUUUUUUGAGGAUGUUGAGUUUGAGGAGAGAAAUCCAGUGAGGACAAUUGUCUUUGAAGAGGAAGAGAUAUCCAUUGUUGCUUUUGACAAUGUAGAUGUUUCAAUACUUGUCAUUGAGAAAGAAGUAAAUUUGGAUCCUCAAUCAUCAGACAAUAUUGUUCAACCCCUCAUUCAAAAUGAGAUAAUUGUUCAUGAGAAUCAAACUCAACAACCUCAAGAGCCUGUGCAAUUAAGACGAUUCACGAGAGAAAUGAGAAAUGCAAUUCCGGAUGAUUACAUAGUAUUUCUUCAAGAACAUGAGGAUAAAACUAGAGUGAUGGAAGACGAUCCAACCAAUUUCUAUCAAGCCAUGCAAGGUUCCAACUCUCACAAAUGGAUUGAAGCCAUGAAUGAAGAGUACAAGUCGAUACAAGACAAUAAAGUUUGGGAACUUGUCGCAUUACCUUCUGGUGUGAAGCCCAUUGGUUGUAAAUGGAUAUUUAAAACCAAAAGGGAUUCAAAUGGUAAUGUGGAGAGAUAUAAAGCACGUCUUGUAGCUAAAGGCUUUACUCAAAAUGAAGGAAUUGACUAUAAAGAGACUUUCUCUCCGGUUUCUACGAAAGACUCUUUUAGGACAAUUAUGGCACUUGUUGCACAUUUUGAUCUUGAGUUAUAUCAUAUGGAUGUUAAGACAACAUUCCUCAAUGGUGACAUUGAUGAAAUAAUUUAUAUGGUACAACCAGAAAACUUUGUGUCAGGAGAUCCAAAGAAUAUGGUUUGUAAGCUAACCAAAUCCAUAUAUAGGCUCAAACAAGCUUCUCGUCAGUGGUACUUUAAGUUUCAUCAAAUAAUUAUCUCAUAUGGUUUUGAGGCAAAUGUUAUUAAUGAAUGUGUAUAUCACAAGUUCAGUGGGAGUAAACAUAUAUUCAUGGUUUUAUAUGUUGAUGACAUAUUGCUUGCCACAAAUGAUAUAGGCAUACUGCACGACACCAAGAAUUUUCUAUCAAAACAUUUUGAGAUGAAAUAUCUUGAUGAUGCCUCAUUUGUUUUAGGAAUCAAGAUACAUCGGGAUCGUUCUCGAGGUAUUCUGGGAUUAUCACAAAGGAACUCUAUCGAUAAAGUUUUGAAGAGGUUUGGCAUGCAAAACAGUAAACCAUGUGACACUCCUGUCGCCAAAGGAGAUAAAUUCAACCUUAGUCAAUGCCCUAAGACCAAUCUUGAAAUCAAGGAAAUGCAAAAGAUUCCUUAUUCUUCAGCUAUAGGGAGUCUUAUGUAUGCUCAAAUAUGUACGCGUCCAGAUAUUACGUUCAUAGUUGACAUGUUAGGCAGAUAUUUGAGCAAUCCUUGCAUGGAUCAUUAGAAAGCAACCAAGCAAGUUAUGAGGUACUUACAGAGGACAAAAGAGUACAUGCUCACAUACACGAGAUCAGAUCAAUUAGAGAUCAUUGGAUAUUCUGACUCUGAUUUUGCUAUAUGCAAAGAUAGUAGAAGAUCCACAUCAGGCUAUAUUUACCUAUUGGCUGGUGGAGUAAUUUCUUGGAGAUCUGCCAAGCAGACACUCGUAGCUUCAUCGACUAUGGCAGCAGAGUUUGUAGCAUGUUAUGAGGCAUCUAAUCAAGAAAUAUGGCUGCGUAAUUUUGUCACUGGGCUGCGCAUUCUAGAGGGUGUAGAAAGACCACUCAAGAUAUGUUGUGAUAAUAAGUCAGCAUUUUUAUAUUCUAACAACAACAGGAGCUCUACAAAGUCAAAACAUAUUGAAAUCAAGUUCCUUGUUGUGAAGGAAAGAGUGCAGAGUGGAAAAAUAUCUAUAGAGCACAUUGGGACAAACUCCACGAUAGCGGAUCCGCUCACUAAAGGAUUGCCACCUAAAGUCUUUCAUGAUUGUGAUUUUUCUUGAGAAUAUUCAGAUUUAGUGGGAGUUUGUAUUAUUUACUAUGUGUGACUUUUGGAUUUUAAUUAUAUAAUUCGGAUUAUUUUCUGCAGAAAUAAAGUAUUUUAGUUCCUUACACUCUGUUAGGAUAAUUUAAGUUUCGAUCUCAAUAAAGUAAAGUAGGACCAGUUGGGAAUAGACAUGUUUAGAUCACAUUCCAUGUAAUUUCCAUGCUAUAUAUCCACAAUCGAUCUAUGUCAUUUAACUGUAUUGAUAUAUGUGACUAUGGAUGGGUUGAGUUACGACUAAUGUAACAAAGGCCGCUAUGAUCCUAUAUUGAUAUGGUUAAUGGAGGAGAUUGCCCAGAUAUACUCUAAGGACAUAAUACCAAUUUUAUGAGCUCAUUAAGUUAAACACAUUUUGUUUUCAUUUGUGGCCCAGUGGAAGAUUGUUAGAUUAUUUUUUAAUUAAUCUAAUAUUUAGGGCCACACAUGAAACAAAUAAAAUGUGUGUGCUAUUAUUUAGUUAGCCAAUAAUUCAAUGAUCUAAUUAAUAUAAUUAAACGGCUAAGGGUAUAAUUGUUGUGGGUUAAAUGCAUAGGUACCAGAGUUUUAAUUGUCACUUUAAUGAGGGGCUGAAGUGAUAAUAAAUACAUGAGAACUGUUAACGGUUUUUAUUAAAACUGUCAGUUAUGUUAUUUUAAAAAGGAGGUUAUGGUCCCCAAUCUCUCUUAAUUCUUAAUAAUUCUAAAAAAUCUCUCAACAAAAAUUCUUAAUCAAAGAGAAGAGAUUAGAUUGGAAGACCAUCACCAAAAUCAAGAAAUCUUUAUACAACAACGAUGGAUUCAGGUACGCUUCUGAAAUUAUAGUACUCAAUAAUUUUAAUAACACCAUCUUAAUUUCCUUGAAACUUUUUUUUUAUACGUUUAGUUGUUAUUUAUUUAUUUAUUCAAUGCCAGGCUGCCAGCGAACUUUAAUUUUCUCUAAUCACCCUCAAAAUGCAUUGUUUUAAAUUUCAAUCACAUUCUAUAUUCAGAACGUGUUUCAUCUCCACGUACAAUGCCAGGACAAAUCUGACAUUUCGAUAGGCAAACAAAUGAUUUUAUCAUAAUCUAAUCGUUACAUGAAAAAAAGUGAACUGUGAACCACUCAUUGUAAUAUUUUAAGAAUACUUCAAACGACUUCUGAGUCAAGUGGCCGAGUGGAUAUCAUUAUCACAAGAAUUAUGUACCUUGGCUGGGAUAAAUAUUAAUUUGGUCGAUUUGAAAGUGGUAAUAAUUUGAGUUAAACACAUAAUGUCUUGAGUCAACACGUCCGUUUAUUAUUCGUUUUAAAUACCAAUCCAAUUCCUUUAUUAAUCAUAUCAUCAUCAUCAUCAUCAUCGUGGUCAUCGUUUUAUAUAUAUAUAUAUAUAUAUACACACACCCCUUUUACUUCCAGAAAUGAUAACACGUAUCUCUUUUUUUUUAUUACAUCCUUUAAUUAUAAUAAAAUAUUUUAUAAUAAAUAUAAAUAAAAGACUAAGAUAAAAAUAAUAAAUAAAAUAGCAUAUAAGUAUAAAUAAACCAUUAUAAACAUAAUUAAUAAAAAUAACAUAUAUAUGUCAUGUAAAUUAUUUUUAAUAUUAAGCUAUUACUAGUAUAUCCUAACCGAUUUUGUUAAUAUUAUAGUUCAUUAAUUCAGAACUUAAAAAAUCUAACAAAAUAUAUAGAUUGAGACAUCAUCUGCAUCACGAAAUAAAUCAACCAAAAUAUAAUUCAGAGCUGAUUAAUUGAAUAAUUAUUCACGUAAUAAAUAUAUUCAGAAGUUGGAAAUUCUAAAUUUAAACUCAAUUAGGGAUUAUGAAACGAGUGUCCAGAACUCAACCCUUUAUAAUCAUGUCAUUUUUAUUUGAGUAAUAUAACAAAGUUACAUUAGUUUGCGCAAAAUAAAUUUUUAUUAAGAACUUGUAGCUCGAUCAUUACUCUUCUUAUUUUCAAUAAAACCUUGUAUUUUGAGUAGGGUAAUUGGACUAUGUAAAAAUUGUUGUUGUUUUUUUCUUAGGAAUUAGUAUUUAAACUGCAUAUAAUUAUUAAAUAUUAUAUAUACUCAUUAAAUUUUAACAGUAAUAAUAAUCUUACAGUUGAGAUACAAAAUUUUUAUCCCAACUGAUUUGGCAAAUGAUGUAACAAUAUCUAUCUCAGAAUCAUGAGAUAUAGAGUACUAAAAAAUGCAUUGUCUAAAUAAAUAUCCCCAAACGUCAAAAGAUAUGUUAAUACACUAUGAAAUUAUAAGUCAAAUUUUUUUAAUGGCCAAACUUAAUAGACACAGUCUAAUACGUAAUAUGGUAAGAAAAUUGAUUUUAUUUUUUUAAUAUUUGGCAAUAGUACAGUACUACUUGAUAACAUGAUAAAUGCCACCAAUCAUUCACAAAUUAAUGCACUGGUGUGUAUUAGAAUACUGCCGCCUUAACUAAUUCUAGGAGACUCUUUUUUAUAAGAAAGUAAACCUUUCAUUUAAUCACAACGCAUCAAAUGCAUUUUGAGCCUUUGUUGGUACUGUUUCUAACUAGAUAGUAUUUGUAUUUCUUCCUAAAGCAAAUUUGGCUAAGAAAUAGGCAUAAGCAUCAAAGUGUCUAGGAGCAUAUUGGACUGUAACUUUUUGGAAAUCUCUUUGUUUUCAUAUCUUUGAAAUUGUCAAACAAAUUUAUGUUCUACUGUCCUUUGUAUUGGUAACUAGCUCAACCACUUCUAAGCAAUCUGUCUCUAUGCUCAGUAAAGUUAAAGACUGCUUUUGCCACCUAAAGUCCCCACUGUAUAGCUUCAGCUUCUGCAAAGCUAAUGUUUCCCAUUAGAUGAGCCUGAUUGAUACCAACAACUAUCACCUUGCCAUUUGAGUCUCUUAUCACAACUCUCAACCUUAUCAUUUGAUCGUUGCUGCUAAUGAUUGCAUCAACAUUGAUUUUGAAUACAUUUUCAAGGGUAGGAGUCCACUUUGCAGCUUCUCAUUUAUGUGUUAUCAAUGUGUGAUGUCUUAUUUUCCUUACUCUUUGAUAGGCUUCGAAAAUUGAUUUUGCCUUAGUUGCUGAGAUACUUGGGUCUAUUAUCUUUCCUUAAAAAACGAAUUUGUUUCUUGAAUACCACACAACCUACCAAUAUGCUACCAUGAGUUCAAAAUCAGCUUAAUUUCCUUAAAUUUUUUCCCAUUUCUUGAAUAAUGCUGAGAAUGUCCUGAGAUUGAACAUUAAAGAUUUAAACUAUGAAAGGAGCUUGAAUCCAGAUCUUUUUUGCUCUCCUUUACAAUCCAAAAGAGCAUGACUUAUGGUUUCCACACUCCUUCUACAUCUUUGACAUGUUGGCUCUUGCAAAAUCUUUCUUUUCCAUAGAUUUUCAUCAGAUGGUAGCAGAGUUUUUGUUACCCUCCACAUGAAAAUCUUGAUCUUUCCAGGUAGGUCAAGAGACCAUAAUGCAUUCCAUUGUUUUGAGUUGUUUUCUGAGCUAUUGGUAGCAUUUGGAAGCUUGAUUUUAAGUGCUAGUUGGUACCCACUUUUCACUAAGUGUUCUCUCCUUUUAUCAAAAUGCCACAACACUUCAUCUUCUGAUUGUUUGUUUGGUGAUGGAAGCUUGAGAAUUACUUCUGUAUCUUCAUGCAUGAAUGGUUUAGCUUGUCCUCAUCCCAUUGAUUUUCAAAAUUGAUUAGAUCUGCCACAAAAGUAUCUACAGGUAAAGUUGGUGGAGAUAUUGGUUUGAAUGUGUCUGGCCUUGGUAAACAGUUAUCCUUAUACACUAAAAUCUUUUUUCCAUUUCCUAUAAGCCAUCUAAUUCUUUUCUUGAUCCCUUAUCUAUCCUAUAGAAUGCUUCUCCAUAUAAAGGAUGGAUUGGAGCUUGCAUUUGCACUCAAGAAAUUAGAGUUUCUAUAGUAUCUUGCCCGCAACACUUUAGAUACUAGAGAGUUGGGAAACUGAAGAAACUUCAUCCUUGCUUGGGCACCAAAGCUUGAUUGAAGCUAGUAAAAUCUCUAAACCGCAAUCCUCCUCUGCUUUUUGCAUGGCUGAGCUUGUCCCAUCUUAUUCAGUGAAUGUCAUUGCCAUGUUUAUUUUGAUUCCUACCAAAACUUCGCUAUAACCCUUUAGAUGUCAUCACAUAAACCCCUUGGAAGUUUGAAACACUCAUUGCGUAUACUGGUAUUGCUUGGGCUAAUUUAGGAUUGCAACAGUUGAUGAAAUAAGUUGUUUUUACAGUUUUGGAUAAAAGUUUAUUUAGUCUCUAUAUUAUGAAAUUAGUGCUUGUUUAGUCCUUAUAUUUUUGAAAAUAGCUCAAAACAUCUCAACCAUUAAACUAUUGACAUCCCUACUAUUAUUAUUUUUUUUUCCUUGCUUUUACAAUAUUACCCUCUUACAGUAAUUUUUUUGGGACAUUAAUAUGAGAAAAAUUAAAGUACUAGUUUAGCACCCAAAAAAUUAAAAACAUAUAUAUUAAUUUUUGUGGAAGCUCACAUAUGUCUAAAAAAAUUAAAUUACCAGUUUUUCAAAAAUUAAUAAAAAAUAAUAUAUUAACUUCUCAACAGAGUGUUUCACAAAAAUUAAUUUAUAUUCCUUUUGUUGCUAUUUUAUUUUUUGGGGUUAAGUUGGCAAUAUUUUUUUUUAUUAAUGUCCAAAAAAAGAAACAUAAUUGGAAGAGGAUAAUAUUGUAAAAGCAAUUCAAAAUUAAUAAAAAGUAACGACAUGGAUGUCAAUAAUUUAAUAGUAAGAAUAUUUUGAGGUAUUUUUUAAAAUACAUAGAUUAUACGGGCACUAAUCUCAAAAUAUAAGAAAUAAAAGAAAUUUUGCCCUACAAUUAUGCUAUAUGAAUGAAAUAAAGUGUGAUUGAAAAAGCAACUUGGUAUUUGAUAUAUUCUGUUGUUAAAGUUAUUGUGAGUUUGAAAAGAAAAAUAAGUAUUUUCAAUAAAUUUUAUCACGAAAAUAAUAUUUUAUUAUAUAAUGGUCAAAAAGACAAAAUUUAUUUUAUUUAUAUAUUGAGGUUUAUAAACAAAUAAAACAUGUAUAAUAAUCAUUUUAUUAAAAUAUUAAAGUUAUAGUAUGAAUUUAAAAAAAAUGUGGCGGUUUAUUUUGUAAGUUAUAAAUAACAUUCCCUACGUGCUUUUAGGAAUCGCUGUCAAAAUAAAAAAAUUUGUAGAAUAUUUUUACCAAAACUUAUCAAAUAAGCAGUUUAUGACAUUUCAACCUUAAUCCUAAACGUAACUUAAUUAUUGCUUAUCAUACAAUUAAAAGGUUAUAGUAUUGAUAUCAUUAGAUAAUCUUUUGCAGUAUAUAUACUCUUCUGCAGACCGCCUCCACGUUCUUUCGCCAUCAAAGAAUAACAACACACGAGAGUUUGACUCUUCUAAGCAUUUGGCUAAACGAUGUCGGCAAACACCGAUUUAGACAAUACGACGUCGCCUUUGUUAGAGGCUGGUGGUGAUGAUGAUCACGGAGAAGAAGAAGCAACCAGCAGCAGGAGGCGGUGGUGGAAACGAGUUUUGGACUUGGAAGAGGCCAAGAAUCAAGUGGUGUUUUCGCUACCCAUGAUUCUUGCUAAUGUUUUUUAUUAUGCAAUUCCUUUGGUUUCUGUCAUGUCUGCUGGCCACCUUGGCCAGCUUGAGCUUGCUGGUGCCACACUUGCCAACUCUUGGGCCACCGUCACAGGAUUCGCUUUCAUGGUAACCACACUUUCUCUUUAUUUCUUUUGAAUCUGCCGCUGAUAGCUCAUCAAGUUUCUACAGAUUUCAUAUAAAGUUUUCUGUUCCUGAAUACUACAAAUUAAAUCAUUAGAAAGAUUAUUUUUAUGCCAGAAAUCUAUCUGAUCAGCCGCGUGCAGACAUAUUAUUGUACGCGUGAUUAGCUACAUGUCAUUUAUUUCAUUGACUGGUGUCUCAAAGUCCUGGACAAAUGAAAUCGUGACACGUGGCCUGUCGAGUGCUUAAUUUUUUUCUUUUAAUAAAGUGCUUAUAUUAUUUGUUGUUAAUUACAAUGGAGAUUAUUUUACCCCCCAAAAAAAAAAAAUUGUGAUGGAAUAUGAUUGUUUCGAGCAUUUGAAGUAAUGUGCAGGAGGGAUAUUUAUAAACUAAAUUAAUCGUGCAUAAAAUGAAAAGAGUAAGUUGAUAAUAAUGCUCAGGUCCAGACGUCUAAAAUCCAGACUUGAAAUAGAAUCAGAGUGUAACUACAGCACCAUUGAUUUAGUUCAAAUCCAGAAAUCCAGACCUGAGAAUGACUCAUUGAUCUAAUUUAAAGUUUUAAACUUAAGCAAUCACAAAAAAUACAAUUUGUAUGGCACAUGAUCAUUGACCAAAACCAACACAAGAGUGAUUUUGGGGAGAAAUUCUUGCUGUUGAAAAUCCCUUAGAUGAAGCUUGAACUUCUACUAAGUUUGCCCCGCUGGUUUUAAUGAAGAUUGAAUUUGUGCUGGUUAACAGGGUCUUAAUUUUUUUUUUUUUUCCCCAAGAUGGGACAAAUGACUUGUUUUUCUGAGAACUGACAUAAGUGUAUGACUAGAUUCUGUUUGGACUCAAUUUUCACCGGGCUCUUUUCUUGAACUUGAACAUUUUCAUCUCUGUUCUUGUCCAAAGAUAGGAUUAAGUGGAGCACUUGAAACACUUUGCGGUCAAGGAUUUGGUGCAAAACAUUACAGGAUGUUGGGAAUAUAUCUGCAAGCAUCUUGGAUUACAUCAUUAUUUUUCUCAAUCAUCAUAUCUUUCUUGUGGAUCUACACAGAACCAAUACUUAUUUUACUUCAUCAAGAUCCCAGCAUAUCAAAACAAGCAGCUCUCUACAUGAAGUAUCUUAUUCCCGGUCUAGUUGCAUACGGGGUUAUACAGAACAUCCUAAGGUUUCUUCAGACACAAUCCAUAGUCAUUCCAUUGAUCUUCUUCUCAGCUCUCCCAAUGGCAAUUCAUUUUGGCAUUGCAUAUGCUUUUGUAUAUUUGACAUCCCUUGGUUUUAAGGGAGCUUCACUAGCAGCUUCAGUUUCGUUAUGGAUAUCGAUGCUUAUGCUGGUAACUUAUGUCCUUUGUGCAAAGAAGUUUGAGCAUACGUGGGAAGAAUUUUCUUUUGAAUCAUUCAGUUUCAUCCUCACCAUCUUAAAACUAGCCCUGCCCUCUGCAGCAAUGGUAUGGUAAGUCCUAAGUGUAACCGAAUUUUCAUUCAUCAUAGCAUUUUAAAUCUUGCGACUCAUUUUUGUUUCAUACUUUUUCAGCCUCGAGUACUGGGCUUUUGAGAUUCUAGUGUUCCUAGCAGGAUUGAUGCCUAACUCAGAACUGACUACUUCAUUGAUCGCAAUGUGGUAAGUUUAUUGUUCUUUUUGAUAAUAUUUAUCCUAAAUUGCUUCAGCCUUGACUUGAGUUUCUUUCUUUUCUGAUUGAAUGAUCUCACAGUGUAAAUACCGAAUCUGUUGCCUACAUGAUUACUUAUGGUCUUAGUGCUGCUGCAAGGUCAGUAGUAUCUGUGUAUAACUUCUAGUUCUUCAGUUUAUGCAUUUUGUGUUCAGGAAACUGAAAAAAUUGUACCUCUUCACAGCACAAGGGUGUCAAAUGAAUUGGGAGCAGGGAAUCCCGACCAAGCCAAGAAUGCCAUGGCUGUGACUGUCAAGCUCUCUGUACUGCUUGCACUCGUGGUUGUUUUGGCUCUAGGUUUUGGUCAUAACAUCUGGGCUGGCUUCUUUAGUAACAGCCCUGAAAUCAUAAAGGAGUUUGCCUCUUUAACACCACUUCUUGCUCUCUCAAUAACGCUUGAUUCUGUCCAAGGCGUCUUAUCAGGUUAGUGACAUCCAAUUUUUUCUACGGAAAUGCUAACUUAUGUGCUUAUAUAUAUAGUUGUACAACUCUGAUUCUAGUUCAAAUCCGAAUUUUAUAAAAUUUCGGAUGUCUGAAGCUGAGCACCAUUAUAUGUAGAUGCUGACGCAAGUGAGCUAAUGGCGCAGGGGUGGCAAGAGGAUGUGGUUGGCAGCACUUGGCUGUGUGGGCUAAUUUGGCAACAUUCUAUUUCAUUGGCAUGCCAAUUGCAGCAAUUCUUGGAUUUAAGUUGAGUCUAUAUGUUAAGGUGAGGCAAACAUAUAUUUGAAAAAAAUAAAAAAAUAAUUAAAAAAAAAGAAACUUCAACUUUUCAAUUUAAUCGUUCAUAUGCUAUGCCCUUUCUUUGGAUCAGGGUUUGUGGAUCGGCUUAAUAUGCGGCCUUUUCUGCCAAGCCAGCUCCCUCUUGUUGAUUACAUUGCGCCGUAAGUGGACUAAAGUGGACAUGACAUGAACAGAGGAAAUGAAUCCCCUGUUUUUAGUUUAACCAAAUACAAUAACAAAGGAUUAUGGUGAUUAGAAAUGUUUAAAAAAAUUUCAAAAUGUACCUUUAUGUGAUUUAUACUUUAAUUUUCACCUUGGAGCUGUGGUCUUUUGAGUAUCUUGUGCUCAAUUAGUUAAUCACUUUAGUUAUUAAAAGUGGAGACUCUGUAGCAUUCAUUAUGUUCUCCUAUUGCCCCAUAAUUUCAACAUAUUUGUGUUAUUUUAACCCUGAAAAUUAAAGUACAUAGCUAUUUUCAUGCUUGAAUAUCACAUGCCACUAGAAUUCUUUAAUUUGAGCUUCCAUGAUUUUAAAUUGCUUUUAAUAUAAGUGAGGCAGCUGCGCUUCCAUUAGACUAUGAAUCUGAUAAAGAAAAAUAGUUAACAGGGAGAAGGAAGAAAGAUUUUUUGUGACAUCCACCAGACCAUUGUUGCAUAUGACAGCGGUGCUAGUUCUAAGCUGGUGCUUAGGAAACUGCAUGAUCUUGCAAUUAUAUACUCCCUUUAGUAGUUAUUUGUGAGAGCCACUUAGGAGACGAAGAAGAAUAAGAGAAGUAGAUUGUUGGGGGGUGCAUGUGUUUCUUAAAAGUCUAGAAAAAAAAAUUGAGAAAAAAAGUGGGGGAUUGCCAAUUUCUCCACUACUGUAAUUAAUAUAUACCAUUUAUCCCCUUACUGUUUUUAUAAUAGUGAAUAAUCUCUUUGAUAGCAUAAGUUUAUAAUAUUAUCUUUAUUUUCAAAUACACUUUUAUUUAUAUUUAUUAUAGAUUAAAUAAAUCAUAUAAAUGGAAAUUAAAAUUAAAAAUUAAGUAUUACAAACAAGAAAUAUAUGUUUUGAUAUGAAGAAAAAAAUUAAUAAUAAAGCUUUUUCUUGUUCUUUUUUAUUUUUGUAAACACUUUCUUAUAAUAAAUAUUUUAUAAUAUUUUAAAAUUAAAUGUAAAAAGUAUAAAAAAAUAUUUUAUUAUUAAUUUUUUUUUACAUCAAAACAUAUAUUCCUUAUUUUUAAUACUUAUUUUUUUAUUUUAAUUUCCAUUCAUGUAAUUUAUUUAAUCUAUAAUAAAAUUAAAAAAAUACAUUUGAAAUUUAGGAUAAUAUUGUAAAUUUAUACUGUCAGGGAGAUUAUUGGUUAUUAUAAAAAUAGUAAGAGAUAAAUGAUAUAUAUUAACUACAGUAAAGAAAAAAUUGGCAAUCUCCAAAGCCUUUUAUGGGUCUGUUUGUGGGGGUAUAAAAAGUUAAGAAACAAACAAAGAAGAAAAGAAAGAACGUGGGAGAGAAAAUUAGAGCUGUAGGGUAGAGGGAAUAAUUGAAAAAAAAAAAGUCAAGGGGGGCACAAGAAAAAACAAAGAAGAAAAGAAAGGAAGUGGGAGAGAAAAUUAAAGUUGUGGGGGUAGUGGGAAUAAUUGUAAAAAUAAACUUGAGUGAAUUAAAAAAUAAAUAAAUAAAUAAACUUUAGUAAACGUAAGCGCACCCAAGAGACGAGACUUAUUUUUAGUAGAUAGUGUGUUUAUGAAUGGUCAUGGGUGCGUGGAGUUAGUAAAGAUGAUCAGUGUGCUCAACUUUCAGCACCAAUGAGUGGAUAAAUAUCAAUUUACUCCAAUUGACGCCCA
rnacentral:lncRNA from 1 species